rnacentral:lncRNA from 1 species
CGGUCGGUUUAAGCAACGGCUCAAGUGUGAUUGCUGCAGAUGAAGAGGAAGGCCUCGCGUCACAUGUCCCUCUCCUCUCGUAAACCCAAUUUUUCUUUGUUUUAUGAAAAUUAUAUUACAACAAACCUCCUUUAGAUUAUUUCUUUUUAAUUUCUUGGAGAGUGUUUUGUGUGGAAUUUGGGUUUUGUGUAUUUUACUUUCUGAACCAGAUUAGACUUUUUUUCUUUUGGGUCAAAGAACCAGAUUAGAUUAAGUUGAGGAUAUCACAUGUCUUUUUUGUAUGUGUUUUUUUGUUGUUGUGCUAUUUUUUUUGCAAUGAAUCAUUUUAUUUAUUAAGUGUAAAUUAGAGAACUGUAAGCCAAAACAAAUACAGCUCAUUUAGUUUUGAAGCGUAACUUUUACCUAAACCUUAUGCAAAGCCCAUCAUUCAAAUGUAUAACCUUAUAUAGUCUCAAGGCUAUCACAAUGGAUGAGAGAAUGAGGUUUUGAAGGAAAAUUGAUGAGCCUAAAAUGCAGGGAAACACUCUUGCUCCUUCUCUUCGAUCUAACUUUGUUAAUAUUCAGAGUAUGAACGUUUCAUUGAAACAAGUUCAUGAAAUAAUCAUACCAUCGAAAACUUUAGGUUCGUUUAAUAGCACGUGGACAACCUCUAAAUCAACAACUCAAUCUCCACAUAAAGAGGACUAAUUAGGAAGAAGCUAUCAAAUAUAGUGAAUUUGAAGAAUAAAACAGAGCCGUUAGAAGAGCUCAGAGUUUGUUUGAAUGGUUCAAAGUUUGAAUAAGUCAUCCGAGAAUGUAGGAGUUGUUUAAAAAUUUGUUGCUUUAGAUUCGGUCAAGUUUGUUUCUUUGUAAGGUCUUUAUAAGGCCACUUUCUUAUGAUUAAUAUACAUGAACUAUUCAGUUCUACUCUGGUCUUUGAGCUCUGAAAACUAUAAGAAGUAACAGUGGUAUUAGAGCUUGAACGAACCUAAAGAGAGGAGAGAUGAGUGAGAAAGAAGCAUUGAUCAUUCCAAAAUUCGAUGGAGAUUAUGAGCACUGGGCCAUGCUCAUGGAGAAUCUACUGAGGUCCAAAGAAUGGUGGGAUCUUAUUGAAGAAGGGAUUCCACGUCAGGAGAGGAAUGUGGUCUAUUCCGGGCAACAGAGAGCCGAGCUACUCGAGAGGAUUGCCGCAAAAACCAUCACUGAUCACAAGGUGAAAAAUUAUCUAUUUGCUUCUAUAGAUAAGACGAUUCUUAAGACGAUCAUGAAGAAGGAUACUUCGAAAGACCUGUGGGAGUCAAUGAAGAACAAGUAUCAGGGAAACACUCGCCACUCGGGUACAGAGUGCACAGCUGCAAAGACUCAGGAGAAGCUUUGAGGUGUUGGAAAUGAAGAUCGGAGAAACCAUAACCGGAUACUUCUCCAGAGUGAUGGAAGUCACUAACAAUAUGCGUAAUCUGGGAGAGGAGAUACCAGACUCGAAGAUGGUGGAGAAGAUCUUGAGAACUUUGGUUGAGAAGUUCACAUAUGUGGUUUGUGCAAUAGAGGAAUCAAACGAUAUCAAGGAUCUGACAGUCGAUGGGUUGCAAAGCUCAUUAAUGGUGCAUGAACAAAACCUGAGCAGACAUGAAGGGGAUGAUCAGGUCUUAAAGGCUGAGGCACAAUGGAGAAACGAUGGAGGAAGAGGCCGUGGCAGAGGAAGAGGAAGAGGAGGAUAUCAGGGUCGUGGCCGAGGAAGCUCCAGUUAUAAUAAGGAGCAGGUGGAGUGCUUCAAGUGUCACAAAAAGGGACAUUACAAGGCUGAGUGUCCGGAAUGGGAGAAAGAGGCUAAUUACGCAGAAAUGGAGGAAGACAUGUUGUUAAUGGCUCAUAUAAACAUGGUAAAAGAGGAGAAUGAACACAUCUGGUUCUUGGAUUCAGGCUGCAGCAACCAUAUGUGUGGGAAUAGAGACUGGUUCAUUGAUCUUGACACCAGUUUCUGUCAAACAGUGAAGCUUGGAGAUGACAGAAGAAUGACCGUGGAAGGAAAAGGGAGUCUGAGGCUUGAGAUCAAUGGAGUGAUCCGGUGAUCACAUCAGCUUACUAUGUUCCAGGAUUGAGGAACAACCUGUUCAGUGUAGGGCAACUGCAGGAGAAAGGAUUAAAGAUUGUCAUUGAGGAUGACGUGUGUGAGGUCUGGAGCAAACGACAAAAGAGGCUAGUCAUGCAUUCUCUCAUGACUAAAAACCGCAUGUUCAUCAUCUUGGCAAAAGUGAAAGGAGCUAGAGAAGGAGCAGAGAAUCACUGCCUGCAGGUGAUGGAGAAAACAGAUCGGCUGUGGCAUAAGAGAUUGGGGCAUCUUGGUCAUAGAGGACUAAGAGCAUUGGCAGAGAAGAAUAUGGUGAAUGGGCUUCCAAGUCUUGACAAAGUGGAGACAGAGGCAUCAACGUGUGAUGUCUGCUUAAAGGGUAAACAGAUUCGUGAAACCAUACCAAGGAAAAGCAUGUGGAAGUCAAGCCGAGGGUUGGAGCUGGUACAUAGUGACAUUUGUGGUCCAAUAACGCCAAUGUCAGAGAGUGGGAAGAGAUACAUCAUCAAUUUUAUUGAUGACUUUAGCAGAAAGUGCUGGACAUUAUUUCUGUCAGAAAAAUCUGAUGCAUUCAAUGUGUUCAAGGAGUUCCAAGCUGCAGUAGAGAGAGAACUUGGACAGAAACUGAUCUGUUUGAGGACGGAUCGAGGAGGAGAGUAUAAGUCCAAGGAUUUUGACGAUUACUGCAGGGAAAAGGGAAUCAAAAGACAUCUCACUGCAGCAUAUACACCACAGUAGAAUGGGGUUGCAGAGAGGAAGAAUAGGAGCAUUAUGAACAUGACAAGGUGUUUACUGUUGGAAAGAUCUGUGCCAAGAAGGUUUUGGCCUGAGGCAGCUCAGUAUGCAGUGCACAUACUGAAUCGGUGUCCAUCAGCUGCUGUAGGAGAUGUCACGCCACAAGAAAAAUGGAGCAGCCAUAAGCCAACAGUGGAUCACCUUAGGAUCUUUGGAUGUGUUGCUUAUGCAUUGGUGCCAUAUCAGAAACGGAUCAAGCUGGAUGAAAAGAGCACCAAAUGCGUGAUGUUUGGAGUGAGCAAAGAGUCUAAAGCCUAUCGUUUGUACAACCCUGAGACAAAGAAGAUUGUGAUUAGUAGAGAUGUACACUUCGAUGAAGGAAAAGGGUGGAACUGGGAUGAAGAAGGACAGAAUGGUGAGCUCUUGUGCGAAGAUGCAGAGACAGAUCAAGGGGUUGAAACUAAUGGAGCUGUAAACGAGGAGCCAAAUGAGAAUACAGAAGGAGAAGCAGGUGUCGAAGGAGCACAAGCAGUAGAAGGAGACGGUACAGUAGCUGGAGAACGAGUGCAGACAUAACAAAUGUUGAAUAGAGAGGGAAGUAAGAGGCAGGUGAGAAGACCAGUAUGGUUUAAAGAUUUUGAUACAAGCGGUGCGGGGAUUCUUGUAUCAGAGGAGGGAGAGAAUGGAGACAGACUUCUUGCAAUGUUCAUAGCCCCAGAUGAUCCAGAAACUUUCGAAGAUGCAGUUCAACAAGAAGUGUGGAGGAAAGCCAUUGUGGCUAUAGAGGAAAAUAAUACAUGGGAGCUGAUGGAUCUGCCAAAAGAAGCAAAGGUUAUCGGAGUUAAAUGGGUCUACAAGACCAAAUUCAAUGAAAAAGGAGAGGUCGAUAAGUUUAAAGCCAGACUGGUGGCUAAGGGGUAUCACCAGAAGCAAGGAGUGGACUUCUAUGAAGUUUUUGCUCCAGUGACUAGAUGGGACACAAUCAGAACGAUCCUUGCAGUUGCGGCUGAGAAGAGUUGGAAGGUAUUUCAACUAGAUGUUAAAAUUGCUUUUCUACAUGGCACUUUAGAGGAGGAUGUUUACGUCGAACAACCUGAGGGCUUUGUGGUGGAAGGUGAUGCAGAAAAGGUGUAUAAGUUGAAUAGAGCCCUCUAUGGGCUGAAACAAGCGCCAAGGGCUUGGUAUAGCCGCAUAGAAAGGUAUUUUGUGCAAGAAGGUUUUGAGAAAUGCUAUUGUGAGCACACUCUGUUUGUGAAAAGAAACUGGAAAAAUAUUCUGCUGAUAAGUCUCUAUGUCGAUGACUUAAUAUACACUGGGAACUCGGAUGCAAUGCUGGAAAUGUUUAAAAGUUCCAUGAUGCUGGAAUUCAAGAUGACAGAUUUGGGAAGGAUGAAAUUUUUCUUGGGUGUAGAGGUGAUUCAAGAUGACAAAGGAAUCUUCAUCUGCCAACAAAAGUAUGCUGAGGAAAUCCUGCAGAAAUUUGGAAUGGAAGACUGUAACUCUGUCAAGAAUCCGAUGGUUCCAGGGCAUAAACUGUCAAAGGAAGGAGCAGGAGAGCUUGUUGAUGCGACGAGGUACAAGCAGUUAGUUGGGAGUCUGAGAUACUUGACAGCUACUAGACCAGACUUGAUGUACUCGGUGAAUCUGAUCAGUAGAUAUAUGGAGAAACCAACUGAGCAGCAUUUGAUGGCGGCUAAGAGGAUUCUGAGAUAUGUGCAGGGCACAACUACAUACGGUAUUCGAUACAAACUUGGAGGAGAACAUAGGCUGGUCGGCUUUGUGGACAGUGACUAUGCCGGAGAUACGAAUGACAGAAAGAGUACUUCUGGAUAUGUGUUCAUGUUAGGUGGUGGAGCUGUUUCAUGGGCCUCUAAGAAGCAACCAAUCGUUACCUUGUCCACUACUGAAGCUGAGUUUGUAGCAGGUGCGUAUGGAGCAUGUCAAGCAGUUUGGAUGAGGAAUGUGCUUAGGGAUCUCGGUUUGGAUCAAGGAGAAGGUACUGUUCUAUACUGUGAUAAUAGUUCCACUAUCAAAUUGUCAAAAAAUCCAGUGCUACAUGGGCGAAGCAAGCACAUACAUGUGAGGUUUCACUUUCUGCGUGAGUUGGUGAAUGAUGGGGUGAUACGACUUGAUUAUUGUCCAACACAAGAUCAACUGUCUGACAUUAUGACAAAAGCCGUGAAGUUGGAAGUCUUUGAGAAGCUCAGAGGAGAAAUGGGUGUCUGCGUAAAGGAAGAAUAAACUGAAAGGAGUAUUUUCAGUUUAAGGGAGGGAAUGAAGAAUAAAACAGAGCCGUUAGAAGAGCUCAGAGUUUGUUUGAAUGGUUCAAAGUUUGAAUAAGUCAUCCGAGAAUGUAGGAGUUGUUUAAAAAUUUGUUGCUUUAGAUUCGGUCAAGUUUGUUUCUUUGUAAGGUCUUUAUAAGGCCACUUUCUUAUGAUUAAUAUACAUGAACUAUUCAGUUCUACUCUGGUCUUUGAGCUCUGAAAACUAUACGAAGUAACAGAAUUAUGAUCGUCCCUUUUUUUUUUUUCCAAGAAUCAAAUCCUCCCUUCUUUAUAGGAAUCGAUUCCCACUUUUCAUAUUUCCAUGUCUUUUUUAUGAACCAUAGGUUGCAAUCUCCUAUUUAAAGACCUAAAACAAAAUAAAAUAUAAGCAGAGAUAAUUUCUACAAAUUAAAUAGCUACUAAUUCAUUAAAAAUGAAGAUCAUUGCAUUGAUGCUCAUUGUCAUCAUCAUACCCGUCACCGGCAGGCACCGUGGCGGUGGGGGUGGCGGUAGCCGUGGCGGUGGCGGCUACACUACAAGAAAACACUACGAUUCCUGACGAAAUUUCCGACGAAAUAUAUUUCGUCGGAAACUACCGACGGAAUCCCGACGAAAAACUAAAAAAUACCGACGAGAAGAAGUUAAACGGAAAUCGGUCGUAAUUCCCAACUGAUUUCCGACGGAUUAUUGAAAUGGUCGUUUUUUAAGGUUUUGUCGGACAUCCGUCGGUAAAUUCCCGACGGAUUUUCCACGGAUUUCUAAAAAGUUGAAAAUUCAAAAAAAAAAUACAAUUCCGUGGGUAAUCCGUCGGAAAUUUCCGACGGAUAUCCGACGGAAUUCAAUUCUUUUUAAAUUUUCAACUUUCCCGACAGAUUUCCGACGGAAUUAUUAGAUCUAGCCGUUGUUGUAUCCGUUGAACUAGCCGUUUCUAGCCGUUUUGUUUCGUCAGAAAUCGGUCGGAAUACGCUCGGAAAUGAAAUCAGGUUUUGCUAUAAAUACCUCUUCUUUCUCAUUCCCAACAUACAAAUCAAGGGUGAAAGAACAUGUCUUCUUCAAACCCAAACCCAUAUAAUUAUUUUCGAUCAUGGAUGGAUAAACCCCGUUUUGGUUCGCGAAGUAAGUUUUCUUGGUUUGUGUACCUUUAAUUUUUUUUUUGUCUACAUUUGCUGUUGGUAUUAACAACUUAUUGUUUUAAUUGUGCAGGAGCUUCCGUUGAAGAAAGGACGUCGACGUGGUUUGGGUAAUGUUGUCUCAAGUCAAGAAUCUUUCGGUUCUUCUUCUUAUCCCGAAGAUAUCGUCGAGCAAAACGAAGAGCUCAAGGCAAAAGCAGCGGAUUUGGAGCACAAGUUAGAUGCAACACAACAAGAGCUCACUACGACCAAAUCGGAGCUUACUACAACCAGAUCGGAAGUCGCAACCAUGGCAAGUUGGAUGAAGGCGAGGUUUCCUGACUUCCCGGGAUUCGAAAGUUCGGGAACGGAAAAUCUAGAAACUUAGAUUAUUGUUUUUUUUUGUUAUUUGAAUAUUUGAAUUUUAAAAAUUGUUAAAAUAUUUUCAUUAUAUUUAUAAAUUUCAGUUUUAUUUAUAUUUAAUUUACAAUUUUAUUUCUCUGAAUUAAUGUUUUUAAAUUUUUUUUUUUAAUUUUUCUUUUACCGUCGGAAAAUCGUCGGUACUAACAAAAAAAGACCGUUGGAAAUUCGUGGGAAAUGAUGACCGUCGGAAAUCCAUCAGGAAACAAAAAUCGUCAAGUUCGUCGAGUUUCCGUCGGAAAUGAAACUCCGACAAAAUCAAAACCAUCGGAAACUCCUUGGUUUAUAAAACCGUCGGGAAUCCGUCGGAACAAUGCUUCCUCGGGAAUCCGUCAGGAAAAUUGCGUCGUCAGGAAUCCGUCGGAAAAGUUUUGUCCUCGGGAAUUCGUCGAGUAGUUGAAGUCGUCGGUAUUCCGUCGGAAAUACCCGAUGAAUUUCCGACGGAUAUUUUUUUCUGACGAGAUGAUCCCGACGACCUGUUUUUGUCGGAAAUCCGUCUGGAAAAGCUUUUUCCGACAGAUUACAGACGGAUAUAACCGUCUAAAAGCGGAUGUUUUCUUGUAGUGCUAUAUGGCUGGUGGAAUUGGCACGGGCUAUGUAAUGGGUAAAGUAAUACCCGACAAGCCUGAGCCUAAGGAGGAGCUGCCAAAGAUGGAGGAUAUACCAAAAGAAUGCAAAGUGGAGGUUAGAGAUUGCAUCACUAGGCAUAUAUACAAAGGCGAGGGGGAGCCUAAAAACGGAGGGCCAUGUUGUGAGAAAUUUAAAAACACAAUACACUGUAUGUGCAAAUUCCUUACGAACAAGGAUCCUUUGGUAAGAAAAGCUGCUAAUGGUGUACUUAGAGGUUGUCGUUAUCAACAACCCACUUGUACAAAUACGCCAAUGCCACCAGCAUGUUGGGAAGAGCUUAGAUCACCUUGUAUCAAUACAGGAACUGCCUUUUAUCCUAAAUACGGAGAAGCAUGUUGUAAGAAACUUAAAAACUCGACAUCAUGUAUCUCUAAAUCCCUUAAGUCUCCGGAUCCUAAGCUACAUGAAGCUGCUAAUGGUGUACUUGGGGGUUGUCAAGUUCGUAAACCUUAAUAAUUGUCCAGAAACCUAGAGAUUAUACAUGUGAUUAAAGUUAACGACGGAACAAACCUAUUUUGAAAUAAUGUACAAAUGAUUUGUUUUUAGAUGGUUAGAUCAAGGGGUCAGUGUUGUAAUUGAUUUUUGUAUUUAUAUGUGUGAUCAGUGUCAGUAUGUAAUCCUAUCUCUCUUUCAGAAUAAAAGUAUCCACUAGCUACUAAUACAAAAAGCAAUCCAAUAAAAAGAUGGCAAUUAUAGUCAAAUCAAGUGCAGUUAGUUCGAUCUAUAAAUCUUAAUUAGUCUUAUUCAGUUUCAUUGUGGAUUAAUUACGUUGAUAUGUUUCUUGUUUUUGUUAAAGAUGUUGAUAUGUUUCAAAAGCGACAAUACUACAUUCGAAACAUUUGUAGCCUUUAUUUUAUAUAUAGCUAAAAACAAGUGAUCCGGCCAAUAUCAAAUGUAGCACAUUUCUUUCGUUCAUCUUUUAUGACUUUUGGUUCGAACCUCUAACUUCCCGGGAAACUCUAUCCCCAUAUAUUCCCAAAAAAAAUCUCACUUUACUUAACCUUCUUUCUAAAUUCACCAAAACAUAUUAUAAGAUACUCGGUAUCGUAGGUUCCGAUAAAAAUAGACCCUUAUACAAUUAGAUAUACGAAUUCCAUCUAUAUACAUAUAUAUAUUUUUAACUGAUUUAUAAACUUUUAUUUUUAACUUUAAUCUCAAACAUUGUUACAAAAAAACUUUAAUCUCAAACAGAUAUAUAAGGCCAAACAUAACAAACGGAAUCAUAAUAAUCGCCUACGACAGCCUACCGUGGAAUCAACCAAUCAAAAGUCAACAUCGUUAUCAGAAAGACUUGGCUUUGUUUUUCAGAAGCAUCUCCCUGAGCUCCGCUGGAUCAAUCUCAUCCGUCCGAUUAGAAGGUCUAUAGUAUCCCGUGACUGGAUCUGGGGCCCACGCAGACUCUGCUUCUUGAUUUGCUCUUUGUUCGAGCUUCCCCACCGUAACUCUGGUAGAACCUGUCUUACUGAGAAAUACAAAUUUUAUUAUUCUACAUAAUUACUAUUAUAUAAAUGAAGGAUGUAUUUAUACAAAUGAUAAUUAUAAUUAUAUUUAGUCUAAUAUACAUGAGUUCAUAUUUGCGCUUCAUAAAUUUCAAAUCCUAAUUACAAUAUUGUUUAUAUUAAUGUGUCAAUAUACAUGAUCCCAUAAUCUCGGUUCAUUUAAUUUAAAAAUUUAAUUACCGUAAUAAUCAAGAAAUCAUAAUUCCACCUUAAACUUUCCUCCGGACACAAUUAAAUGAUUAAACAUAAAUAGAAUCAAUGUAUGCAUGCAUAUUCCAAAUUUAUCAGUUAAUGAUUAUAUUACCUUCCUAUAUUAUCGUAACCAUAUCAAUAUGAAAUUAUAUAACCAAAUUACAAAUUAUUGUUUGGAUAGUCUAAACAAUUCUUAUAUUUUCAAUAUAUUUUAGAUGCAUUUUACCUACCUAAAUCAAAAUAUUCUGUUUUCCGUAUAUGUAGGAGUAAUUAAAAAAAAUAGACCCUUUAUGGAAAACGAACAAUAUUGCAAAUUAAAUAUAUCAAAUUUGCCUAAAUCUAUCAUAUUUCAAAGUCAUUUCAAAUUCAAAUUCAUAAUUUACCGCCUACAAUAUUUUAAGAUUGCAUCGAAGAUUUACCCUAGACUCACCACAUUCGUUAUUUUGCUAUAAAUAGUUACCACUGUAGAUAUCGAAUUCAUCACACCAGCUAAGCAAUAUUUAGCUUACAUACUCCCUUUGCAAAGUUUGCGAUGUCGACCUUCACAUCCCUCACUGCCCUAAAGCCAUUCAAAACCCAAUGGAGGAUCCGUGUCAAGAUACUGAAGUUGUGAAAACAGUAUUUGAAUGGGAUCGAGACGAUGGAGAUGGUCGUUGUCGAUGAACUGGUAUUGUUUUGUACUUUGUUUGUUCGUUAUUCAUACUGAUCCAUUUUGAUCAUAUAUAUAUAUUUUAACGUUUUGCUUAUUAUUAUAUUGCCAUGCAGAAUCAAACUAUGCAUGUUAGUAUGAAGAACCAGUUCAUCAAAAAAUUUGAAAAUCUUCUAGAGGAAAGAACUACUAAGAUCAUCACUAAUUUUCAAGUCACUCACAACGGUGGUAAGUUCAGGACUACCUCUCAUGUUUACAAGAUCCAGUUUGCUGCCACGACGUCUGUCAGACCUUCUGAAGAUCUGGAUGCCACAAUUCUUGGGUUGAAGUUUGUGAACUUCACUGAUAUUCAUGAUGGCAAGUUGAAUCCUGAUUUUCUAAUAGGUAAAUGGUAUAUUUAUAUCUCGCAUACAUUAUUAAUAUGAACCAAAGCAUAUUACAUCUAAUUAUUGGUUUAUGUUUUUAUUUUACAGAUAUUGUUGGACAAAUUGUUAGUAUUGGCGAGGUUGAAAUUCUCAACGUUAACAAAAAACAGACCAAACGUCUAACAAUGACACUUCGUGACACCAGGUUUUUUAAUUACCUUUGACACCUAAAUAUUGUUAAUAAAACGUCUAAUAUAUUUUGUCUUUUAGUGAUGUACGCCUGAAUUGUGUUCUCUGGGGGAAUUAUGCAGAAAGUUUGGAGAGUGUUGCUACACAUGCAACCAAUGCUACCAUUUGUUUCGUGUUAAUAUUUGGAAAGUUAAGAUUGUAUCAAGGUACGAAACAAAUGUUUUUUUGUUAACAAACAAAAUAUCGUUUUUAAAAAAUAUAUAUAACUUUCAAGACAUUUCAUUAUUUAGGUGUAUGGAGCAUUGGCAAUUGUUACAAUUCUUCCAUUGUGAUGACAGAUCCUGAUCUCCCUGAAAUAAAUUCUUUUAGAAACCGGUAUAUUUAUAUCUAUAACCUUUAUCAAUUUUCCAUUUAGUUUACUUUCAUGUCACUAAAAUCCAAGAUUUUUUUUUCUUUUACAGCUUACUAAAAGAUGAUGUGACUUUGUCAUACACACACCCUAACCAAUUGACCAUUGUCAAUUCUGUUUUUGUAAGAGAUGAUUUCUUCUUACAUACCCCUCGCCGGACAAUAAGUGAAAUACUUGGUGCAUCUGAGGUAUUUAUUUUGCGUGGUACACAUAUUUCUUAAACAAUAUAUGGCGAUUGGGAUUUUAAAAGAAAGUAAUGCUUCAAUUAGUAGGUUGAAAAAUGUGUGACUAUGGCUACCAUCAUGUCUAUUGACACUGAAUUUGGAUGGUACUAUAUGUCAUGCAAAGUGUGCUCUAAAAAGGUGCUUCCUCUUGAUAUGGAUUUGUUGAAGGAGCAAUAUCCUAGUAGGCCAUUUCCUAAACAGUUAUGGAUAUGUGGCAAAUAUAAGGAUGAUGUUGAAAGUGUCGUACCAGCGUAAGUCUUGGAUGCAAUUUUUAGAGCAAAAAGAAUAUUUGUAAUUUUUAUUUAUAAUAUUAAUAUUCAUAUAUUGUUCUAUGCUAACAUAGGUUUAUGCUGACUUUCCGUGUUAUGGACAACACUGGUGAAACAAAGUUUUUAAUCUUUGAUAAGCUUGCCAUGGAAGUUGUAAAUCAAACAGCUGCACAAUUGGCUGAAUCUGUGGAAGAGGUAGUUAUGCAGUUUACUAUCAACUCUAUUAUAGUCAAUCUUAAUUACUAUAUAUAAUAGAAAACUUAUAUGUUUGCUAAACUGCUUGCAGAUCCAAGAUCUAGAUGUAUUACCUCUUCCAAUUAGUAACAUUUGUGGGAAAACUUAUCUGUUCAAGCUAUCUAUUGAGAGUUCAAACCUCGUUUUCAAUAGUGAUGUUUACAAAGUUACAAAGAUUGUGACCCAAAGUGACAUGGUCAAAGAAUUAUCAGAAAUAUCCGGAUUUUUGGUUUGAUCCCUAAACUAUUUAUUCGUAUUAAUAUUUAUUCAUAUUUCAUUGCCUUUUGAUCAUUGUUAACUUAUUGUUUUAUUUAUAGACUACCCCUGAUGUCAAGUCUGAAGAAAUGGGGUUUAUAACUCCCGAUGAACAGGUAUGCUAUUUAGGAAUUAGAUGCCUCUCAUUAAGAUUAUAUGACUGUACAUAAACGUAUUUGUUCACAUUUGUCAUUUUAGGUUCCUAAGAUGUUACUUGACAGUGGCGACGAUGAUAAUUCACCACAGUCAAAAAGGAAAAGCGAUGAGAUGAUUGACUUUGAUGAUCAUAAUGGAGAGCAGUCUACUUCUAAGAAAGCUUUAAAUGGGGACAUGAAGACUGGAUCGAGUGAAGAAAAGAUUUCUCUAAAGCCUGUUAAGAAGGAGAAAGUUGAUGACUGAAGUCUUCGUUUCUUUAACAAUAUGCAUUCUCCUGCUUGCUUUGUUUCUUAAGAUUUACUACAAUAUCUCAUUGUUUAAGUUUCGGUUAUUUUUUUCCUUGCCCGUAGGAUUUGUCUUUUUAUGUUUACAGAUUUUCUGUGGUUUGUUAUUUGAAGUUUAAUAAAAGCAAGAAUUUUAAAAUAUAUUAUGUUUUGCGAUUUAAUUAGUAACUGCGGAAUUUUAAUUUAUUAGUAUAAAUAACAAAGUAAAAUACCUGCAUGUACGGAUGGUUUCGCCAAACUCAAGCCUAGUAUGAAAAGAAAUUCUGCAUGGCAAUUAAACAUUUACAACAUUCAUGCAAAAUAUUUGGAGUCAUUAUUACUUUGGCAAUACAUAUAUUUUUUUAGCACUUACAAUUACAGUUGUAUCCUAAAACAACUCUGUAUUUAAAUAUAAAAUUAGAAAUGUAUGUACAUUUUACAAAAUUAGAAAAACGAUCGUAACUACUAUAUUCUGUCGUAUAUAGAUGCUAAUUGGUGAAUAUUAACACAACCAAUCAUAAUUAAAAGAACUUAAACUAAUUCCUAAAGUUUCCAUGUUUAGAUAAAUUCUCAAUUUAUUUGUAAUCUUAACAAUUAGAAUAUUGUAACUAUCCUAUUAAGAUGUCUACUACUUUUCAAUUCUUAAUAUUAAAUAUAUCCUACGCAUAUAUCGAUUCUCUACAUUCUCACAAAUCUGUAGAAUAAUGAAAAAGAACAAAAAAUCGUCUUCUGCAAUGGAUAAAGAUCAUGACAUCUUAACCAAAAGACCUAAAUUGGAUUUCAUCAACCCAUGUAUAAAAGUUAUGGUUCAUUCGCUAAUAAACUCAAAUUUAUACUCGGGUUUGUAUAUUCUUAAGAAAGUACAAUAAAUUACUUAAGAAUCCGAUUUAUAAAUGGUCUAUCUAAAAGUUCCACAUAUAUUUUUGUAUUAUUUACAUAACACAAUGGACAUAUUCAAGUUAUCCCUGCACGAGUACCAUUACCAGUACCUAUCUCAAAUCCUGAUGAUUUCGACAAUACCUUUGGAGAUAUCAUUAAUAUUCAGAACCCCCCCGACAACUUCAAGUACUCGGAAAAAAAUCAAUGUAGUUUGAGUACGUAUUAUAUUUAUUUCCUAUGGGCCAAGAUGAAACAUCAUUGAACAACUUAUAUUGCUCAACUAUUUAUGAUUCUUUGGUAAUUAGAUAAUAAACAUGUAGUGAAACCUCGAAGUUUUUAUUAUAUACAGAUGCCAAUGGACAGAAUGAAGUUACCCCUAAACGAAAAGCAUUGCCAGUUCCAAUUUCAAUUCCUGGUGUUUUUCGAAAUAUAUUAGGAGAUAUCAGUAAUACCCGAACUGGCCCCAGUGCUUCAAGUUAUCCUAAAAAGAACCAACUUAGUCCAAGUACGUAGUUUAUUUAUUUUCAUUGUAAUCGAUUUAUUCAUUGACAAAUGUAUUAUCUUUAAAUUUUGUUGUUCUCCUGUAACAUCAGUAACAGGAAAAAAAAAUUACACAGGUACACAAACAAGUAUUUUUUAACCCUUCUUCUUUAUGUUUGUGUUGUCCUGAAUGAAACCUCUUUUAUAACUAAAGUAAUUUCUUUAUAAUAUCUAGCAAGUCCAGUCACUCCAUGUUAUGGCUCAAAUCAAUUUCUGCCAACUAUACCAACAGCAAAUAUUUGUGAUAGUCGAUAUUCUACAUCAGGAUACUUAAAUAUCACAUAUAACCAAAAUCCUGAUAAGACCAGAAGAAAAAAAACUCAAUAAAGUAAGCUUACUUUUAUAUAUUUAGUUUAAUAUUUAGUUUAUUAUUUUAAAAAAUAUUAAAUAAUUAUGACUACUUUGUUUCAUAUUCAUUUUCAGGAAAAUUAGAUCAACCCAUUGUUGGAAAUCAUGUUUUACCCGAUAGAAACAUAACAGAUGUCACAAGAAAUCUCAAAUUCAACGAUGGACCUUCAAGUUCAAGAAAUGAAAAUCUAAAAUUGAGUCAUCCAUCUAAAAGUUCUAGAAGUGCACGUACGUUUAUAUUUCUUUCAAUUCAAUCUCUAUUAUACCAUUUACAUUUUAUAUAAUGAGUUUUUCAUUUCUUGAUUUACAUCAACUAGCAAAACUAAGAGAUGAUCUAUCAAGAUACAACACAUGUGAAAAGAUAGAGUCUGCCCGUAUCCUUAAUAACGUAGUUGUUAUAUCCUGAUUGUUUAUAUACUUGCUUAAUUAAAGAGAUUGCUUAAUCACAAUUGUGUCCUUCAUAUUAUCAAUUAAUAGUUGUUUCAUUUUGGAACUCUGCUAUGGAGAAAGCAAUGCAACCAUGUAAUAUAUCAGCCAAAACUACUUCGCAAUCAGGUAUCAUGUAUUAAAUAUGUUCAAAUCUUUGUGUAUAAUUAUGAUGUAUAUGACAUAGAAAUGAUCUUUUAUCUUAUCUAACAUUUUGAUAAGUUGGUUUAUGAAAAAUGGGGUACUUGCACAUAUGACCUCAAAAUUGAAGUCAAAUGCAAAUCUAACCACUUUUUUCUCCCUCUUCAAUAUUAGCCAAUUUCUCCCCACUUUCUCCCUAAAGCCACAUAUAAUAACAUAAAUGCCAUUAUAUUUAUAAUUAUCGAUUUUUUAGGUAAUUCGAAAAAGACAUAACCAUCCUAAGAUAUAUCAAGUAUUCACGAAAAUGCCAUCAUCUUCAAUUUCGCCAACUACCAUUACCAACCAAAAUUGAAGCUCUUAAUGCUUGCCCAGCUGCACUUGAAGCUCUAAAUGCUUAUUUGGCCGCUCAAACUUCAUUCUAUCUUCAAAUUUCUCUCUAGUUUCAUCUAAAAAUCUUUUUCUUGGUCGACAUUGAUAUGUAUGAAUUCGUAAAUCAUAUAUCUUGUGAGAUUCUUGGAUAACCGAGUUCUGGGCUGGUUUCCUUUCCGUGCAUCUCAAAAAUUCUGAAUUUCUGUCAAAGUUAAUUGAGUUCAAAUUGGAAGGAGGUAAACAUCUAAAUAUUUCUUUAACAUUGGGCUAUGUUUCGUGAAAGUAGACUUCUUUUACAGUCUGCUAGUCAACGUAGAAGGUUAGAUUUGCAAUUGACCUUUUGGUAUUUUUUUGAAAGUAGACUUCUUUGUAAGUCUGCGAAUUUUCAUUUAACGACGAGAGGAAAAAAAAAUAAAAACCCAACCUUACAUUCAAGGGAACAUUCAACGAAUCAAUAACUUUCUUUCUACAUAACAGAAUGAAAUCGUUCCGACAGUCUAAAAAAAAUUGGUUAGAAAUGUCGUGGCAACAAUGGGCCGAGUGUAAGCUCAGCUUGGGCUUUAGGUAUACAAGGAUUCUUUAAGAUUAUGCUGGGCUAAUAUAUUUGAACUAAAUAUGAGGAUGCAUCAAGAAAUACAUAAUGGGCCAAGUGUAAGCUCUCCUUGGGCUUUUCAGAAAGCAUCAUUUUUCAAACGAGAAAUCUGGCCAUGUCUUUGGUUCCGACAGCAUGAAAGUUAAACUCCAUAGAAUCUGUCACAAAAAAUGAACAAAAAUAUUCUUUUUUUUUUUCGCGGAAGACAUCAUCGCUUUGUGCUCGGUGAAGAAGAAUCCUCCUCGAGGGGAAUUUUUACUUCUCUCCCUGGCAGAAUCGCCUCUCGAAGACGUUCUUCAAGUUCAUCUCGAGACAAGAAUUUUCUCUUUAGGGUUAACGCCGCAUCGGUCAGGAAUUACGAUUUUUGUAACAUCCAUAUCCCAGGCUUCCUAGAGAGGGAGUGAAAUAGGGCAUGUUAGGUCGGCUAUCUAACCGCAUUCGGUCAGACACCUGGUUUAGUCCAGAUGGUGAGCCUCAGGUCUGCCAGGAUCAAAAACGCCCAGGUAGCAAUCAACAAUAUAGACAUAGCUGAUCUACCUGAAAAUAAAUGCAAGGAAGGAAGAGAGGUGAGUAAUUUGAGAUUACUCAGCGAGGAUGGACCUUAAAGAGAUCCACAACACCAUCUAACAAACAUGAACACAGUAGAUAGACUAAUCUAAGUCAAGCUAGCAAACAAGGGUAACCCUACAAUCAACUACCAAGUAACAAGGAAACCUUAACCCAUUGAGGGAAGCAUCACCGUCUUAUCAACAAUGUCACUCCACCCACCCAAUCACCACAGAAAGGGGUCACCCAUUCACCACAGAAAGGGAUCUCAACAAGCAAGGUCAUCCAGUCGUCCCAAUCACCACAGAAAGGAACACCCCCAAUCACACAGAAAGGGUCACAAUGCGACCACACAGACAGGCCUCCAACCAUAUAAGCUCCGGAAGGAUCGGCGUACCUUCUCCCACCGUUGAGCUAACGCACACCCACUUAGCCCAGCAAGCAACACCGCCCCAAUCACCACAGAAAGGGGUCGGGGACCUAGCAGUUCUAUAUCACACAACCUAGUCUAUCACAAGCAAGAUAGAUCCAAAUCAAGCACAAUCAAUUCAUGUUUUUAGGGUUCUCUAGUCUUAGGUCUAAGUUCAUGGUUAGUCAUUAAGGUUCCACCAACAACCAGCAAUCAUCAACAAGCAAUCAACAAGGAUCCAGGUCCUAGCAAUCUAAACCCUAGCACACAGAUCUAGUACUUAACCUAAGAAAAGGCUAACUACUAUGGAGAAGAGUGAAAGAGAGGGUGAAGCACAAGGUCCUCACCUUGGCACAGAAGGGCGGGGAAUGGAAGGAGGAGAUGGCAUAGGAGAAGGAGGACGAAGUGGAGAUCCUUCAGAAUCAUAUCCCACUUCGAAUUCAGGAGAGGAAGGCGGCGAAGACAUCUCUGGAGGAAGGAAGGUUCGACUGAAAGGAGUGAGAGAAGAGAUUAGAGCAGAGAUGAGAAAGAGGAAGAGAGAGAGAAUGGAUCUGGACACCCGACACGCUGUUCUUGAUAAGUCUUGUCUCCGACUACGGAUCAGGUCGAGGUUGGUCUUAUCGGAAAGCUUACCUCAGGGGCUUCAAAUUGAUAUAUUAUACGUCACGUGGAUCUUCCCGGCUCGCCGGGAAAUUAUCUCAGAAGUUGACAGCGGUUUAUGAGAAAAAGUGACGAAAAAGAGAGAAAGAGGAGAGACUAGGGUUUUAGAAAGGCUAACGAGAGAUCAAAGUAUUUAUAUUUAGGUUGAAGAUAUUUGACUUAAUCAAUGUCCUAAGGACAUGUUCGUUUGCUCAUCUGACUAGAUCAUCUAGAUAAAGCAGUUAAAUGAUAUUCGUGUAAUUACAUUAAUCAGUUCAUUUUAAUGAAUCAUUUAGAUGGAUCAUCUCGAUGACAUAAAUUUAUGAAGAAACUUUAAACUCAUCCAACUGAUUCAAUUUGAACCAUCUGGAUGAACAUAAUUCAGUCCAAAAAAUUAAAUGACAAAAAUAUACUUAACAAAAAUUAAUAUAUAAUACAAAAAAAUAAUAAAUAGUAAAUAUUAAUAACAUUUUUUGUUUAUUUAAAAUUUUGUUCCCAUUAAACAUAUAUAAAAAGUUUCCCCAAAAUUUAGAAAUUCAUAUUUCCCAUCAAAAAUGAUAAAAUCACAUUUUUUCAAAAACUUAAAAUUUAAUUUCUCCGCUAGAUUUCCACCAAAAACUUAAAAUUAUAUAUUUUUUUGUAAUAACAUAAAUCUCAUUUUCCCUCCAAAAAUGUAAAUUUUGUUAUUCCACCAAAACGUAAAUCUCGUUUUCCGUUAAAAAACGUAAAGUCUUGUUUUCCCGUCAAAAAUAUAAAAUUUCUUUUUCCCAUCAAAAAUAUAAAAUCUCAUUUUCCCGUAAAAAACAUAAAAUUUCGUUUUCCUUUAAAAUCUCAAUUUUCCAUCAAAAACAUAAAAUCUUGUUUUCCAAUAAAAUCUCUUUUUCACAUCAAAACGUAAAAUCUCGUUUUCCCAUCACAAACGUAAAAUCUCGAUUUCUCGUCAAAAACCUAAAAUCUCGUUUUUCCAUCAAAAACCUAAAAUCUUGUUUUCCCGUGAAAAAACAUAAAAUCUCGUUUUCCCAUCAAAAACAUAAAAUCUUGUUUUUCUGUUAAAAACUUAAAAUCUCGUUUUCCCGUUAAAAACGUCAAAUCUCGUUUUCUUGUCAAAAACAUAAAAUUUUGUUUCACCAUAAAAAACUUAAAAUCUUGUUUUCCCAUAAAACCUUAAAUCUCGUUUUCUCGUUGAGAACAUAAAAUCUCAUUUUCCUGUUAAAAAUAUAAAAUCUCAUUUUCCAUUAAAAACGUAAAAUCUUGAUUUCCCGUGAAAAAAUUAAAAAUUUCGUUUUUGCGUAAAAAAAAAAAAUCUCGUUUUCCCAUCAAAAACCUAAAAUCUUAUUUUUCGUAAAAAAACUUAAAACCUCGUUUUCUAGUAAAAAACAUAAAAUCUCGUUUUACCGUAAAAAAACGUAAAAUCUCGUUUUUCCAUAAAAAAUGUUAAAUUUUGUUUUCCCGUUAAAAACAUAAAAUCUCGUUUUCUCGUUAAAAACAUAAAAUCUCAUUUUUCAUUAAAAACGUAAAAUCUUGUUUUUUCGUGAAAAAACAUAAAAUCUCGUUUAAAUCUCUUCUAUACAAAAGAAAAUUUUAUUUUUACCAAAAAUGUAAAAAUGUUAAUCUAAUAUAUUUAAAAUUCAAUUAGAUUUAUAAAAUUAUAAUUUGAUAAAAUUAAUAUUUUAAUAAUUUUAUUGUUAAAAAAUUAAGAUAAAGAUAGAUAUCUUCAGAUUAAAAUGACCAAACAAAUAAAUGUUCAUUAAUUAUUUAAUGUUUGUUUGCUCAUUUGUUAUUUACAUCAUUCAGAUGACUCAUUCAGAUGAAUUAUUUAAAUGGAUCAUAUAGAUGCAAAUGACAAACGAUCAAACAAACGAACAGAGCCUUAGUCUAUAAAUAUGAGAUUUGGUGAUUAUUGGACCAAUAAUCUAAUAUUAAGCCACAUAAACGAGUGGGCCAAACCAAUCCAUUUAACAAUCUUCUGGAUUGGAUUUGUGUGACAAAUUUAGCUCCAACACUUUUCUUAAAAGGCCCAUCGAAUAAAAGCCAUCUCAAAUGAAAGCCUAACCGACUCUGAUUCGCAGGUAUAUAUCCCACCGUUACAAUCAAUCGGCUCCUAACUGGAGCCAGAAAAUGUCUAACCCUAAUUACGCUUCUUCUGUCGAACCCAUGCCCUCAUCUCACGACGAACCCAUGCCCUCAUCUCACGACGAACCCAUGCCCUCAUCUCACGACGAACCCAUGUCCGCCGAGAUCUCUCCCGUCGAGACCAAGUCCUCCGGUAAGAUCUCUCUCUCUCUUUCUCUCUCUCUUUCUCUCUCUCUCUCUCUCUCUCUCUGUUAAGGACCAUCUCAUACGAUCGAUCUGCGAGAAUAAUACAUGAUCGAUCUGAUUGCUUAUGCGUUCCCUGUUUUUUAAAACCUUACUCGCAGGGUCUAGCAUACCUGUCUUCUGGGACUUAGUGGAUUUCCCGUUCCCCCGUGGUCUCGGUCCUGUUUCGAUUUAUCAGAAUUUGAAAACAAUUCUUGAGAGUAUGGGUUGUGUUGGUGACUUGUCAAUCAUGGCUUAUGUGGAUGAGAAAAACUUGAGGGAUGAAUGGCGCGAUGUUGCCUAUAAGAAUGCCGGUAUCAACAUUGUUGUACCCCCACAAGGUGAAUUCUCGCAUUUAUGUGUCUAUUAAUGGUCUUUAUUCCCUUUGCACUUGUUUAUAUGUCUCUAAUAUUCUUGACCGACGUUUAUUUGUACUUUCAGGGGAUGUUAAUUAUGAGAGAAGUCGCUUUAUGUUACUGGACAUUGUUUUGUGGAAAUGCAAAAAUCGUUCGUACCACAUUAGGCCAUUGAGUUUGUUGGUAAUCUCUAAGCAAAUAAAAAAACAUUCGGCUUUCCUCACUCAACUUAUCCUGUUGUCAUAUGCAUCUUACCUUGUUACCGCAACAGUUGACCCUGACGAUCUUGUACCAUUAGUUCCAUCUUGUCCGGUUGACUUAAGUCCUGUAAGCUUCGAAUGGCUUUCCACAAACCUGUCAAAGAGUGAAACCUCUCAAAGCGCUGAUGACCAUAAGCGGAAGAGCAGAGAGGAUACUGCGCGCAUCAGAAGAUCACAACGACCAAAGUUAGAUGAGAGUAGCUGAUGAGUCACUCUUAUUUAUGAUCCAAAAUUUUCUUCCAAUUUCUUACCAUUUUUAUUUUUUGUCAUAAAUUCGUAGGAAAAUGAUAAAAAAAUUUUCCUACCAAAAUUUUGGUAGGAAAAUUCAUAAGAAUUCAGCAUGUUUUAUUUAGUGAAUUGCUGCACAAAAAAUCUAUAUAUCAUUAAGAUGAGCAAAAGAAGAUACAUGCUUUGAUUGUUUAAUUGUUGUCUUCUCUUUUAUUUACCUUAUUCAUGUUAUCGGCAUGUUUGUUUUAAAUUGCUUUUUUUUUUUUGUAAAUUUGGAAAUGGCGAGAAAGCAUGAGAAACUUAAUAAAACAAACAUGCCGAUAACAUGACUAAGUUCAUGUUUUGAUCAAUUUUUUGCGACUCUGAAAAUUUCCUGCGACCUCUCUAUAUUUAUGUGAGUAUUCUUAUGUUUGAUGGUUGGAAUCUUUGAUGUUUAGAUUUCUCAAAAACGCAGAAGAAUGAUCUCACUAUGAUUCUCAUCGGAAAGGACAUUCUGGAGCAAUCAAAUGCCAACAAGGUGAAAUAAAUAGAUUUCGUCAAAUUAAGGUUACUCUUUAACCUCCUUACAUAUUUCCAUUGGGAUAUAUUAACUUUGAUAACGAACUGCUUUUAUUCAAGAUUCGUCCUAUUUUUAUCAAAAAAAAAGAUUCGUCCUAUUGCUUUAUAUAUUAGUAGUUCCUAUAAAGUUCUCAGUUUCCAAAAACCGAGUCUUUUUUGUCGCUGCCAAUUGUUUGAAGCCAUAAAAACGUGUAUUAUGUUACUGUCACGGUAUCCUCUAUAUAGCGUAGAAUGGAGUACAUAAUUAUUAGAUCUAGAUUCGUCCUUCUUUUGUUUUUAUUCAAUUUUCUCAUUUUUUCUUUAACUUAGUCGUCUCUGUUUUUUGUUCAGGUCUCUGAGAUGUGAAAUGUUCGUCCGUGAAACUUUUUUACUAUAGGUGAGUAUCCUUUUGCUUGAUGGGUCUGGUAAAAUAUUGUUACUUUUACCAAAAAAAAAAAAACUGAAACUGAAAUAUAUGUGUUUAGUUUAAUUUGUAUAUGUAUUUUGUUUUGAUUAUCAGAAAAAUUAAUAAUCUUUUUUGGAAUUAUGUUAUAGAAAAGAAGUUGUGUAUAACAACAAUUUGAAGAUAGAGAAUGGUUCCAAGCUAAUUGACCUCUUUAAUUAAGGUUUGGUGGUGUAGUUUCAAAUUUGUUAUUACUGUUUCUAAUUAUUACCCUUACUCCAUUGUAACAGGUAGGUCAUAUUUUCAUCAGUUUGUAUCUUUUAAAUGAUCUUAUGUGUCCUUAUGUGUUCAUGGAAAUUAAAGAAGAGUAUUUGCAUACCAUAACGCAGAAUACCACCGUAUUUGCAAACAUAACUAGCUGAAAAGGCUCUGUUCACUUUUACGAUAAUCCAAAAAAACUCCCUAUAACUCUAUUAAUUAUAGCGGUUAUAGAGUAGAGGGAAAGUCUCCCUCUGUAAAUGUAAUAAUUCAUUUUUGAAUUUUGAAAAUUAAAAAGAGAAACUGCUUUUCGUUUGAGUUCCCUAAAAAUCCUCGCAAAUACGAUAACUCAGAUCUAAUCUCCACCAUUUCUUCAUCUUAAAAUGGCGAUACAAGAACUACCAUCCAGAAUUUUCGCCGCCGGCGACGAACCUACCGGCGAAAGGGUGAACUCCUACCAUAAAGCAAAGAGCAUCGGUAACAUCAUGGAUGCUCUCGAUGAAGGUGAGAGGAAUUACUUACGCAGUUCGCCGUUUGGGAAGCUCAUCGCGACGGCAGAGAAACCAUCGUUAUCCGGCAGUUUCGGGCAUUACAUUAUCACCAGACUGCUCAAAGUUAACAAGAAACACGAGAUUUGGAUUUUGUUUGCUGGUCGGCCUAUUAGGAUUUCGCUGCGCGAGUUUGCAAUCGUCACCGGUCUUCCCUGCGGCAGGUAUCCCAAAAGAUUGAAGAAGAAGAAACGAAAUCCGGUUAAGGAGAAACCAUAUUGGCCCGAUUUGUUUGGCAACCUCAAAGUUUGCAGUGUUGAUUUGGCAACCAAGAUGCUGAAAAAGAGAACCGUUGCCGACCGAACCACUCGGUUGAAGUAUGCAUGUCUCGCUAUAACCGGCGCAGUCUUUUGUCCUACGAACCACCGGUCCAAAAUCGUCUUUGACCAUGUCGAGUUAAUCAGAGAUCUGGAUGAAUUCUUUCUAUAUCCAUGGGGUAGACUUGGGUUUGAGAUGUUAAUCGCUAGCAUAAAAACAAAAGACGAGGUUGCACUUGCCCAAAGUACCGUUGCAGUUAAAGGUUUUUUCAGGCACUUCAGUUAAUUUUGGUUGAGGCUAUUCCGGCGUUGACCGAGGUAGUUCAAGUAAAUGAAUCUUCCAAUUCAUCGGGAUCUGAAGAUGGUGAAGAUGAAGAGGUCGACAUCGACGACACUGUUCAAUCGGGAGGAGGCGUUGAGGGCAAUUUGGUUCAGGAGCCAGUGAUGGACACAGACCGGAUUGCACCCAAAACUAAUCCCAGAUCGGAGGUUCACAAACUUGGACUCAGUCCUGGUCAUGCGAGAGAGAUAGAUGAAGAAUGCAAAGUAAGUAUCAGUUAACAUUGUUGUUUGACGUCUAACGAUUUGUUUAAUCUUAACCUAGUUAAAUACACAUCUAACUUUUAUGUUAACCGCUAAUCAUAUGUGCAGGCUGAUGUUUUUAGUAUUAUUCCUGAUGAUCCCAAUGUCAGCACGGAGAACAUGGACCUUGAUUGGUCUGAUGACGAGGAAGACCCCAAAGUUGAUUAUGUGGUGCAACUUAUUGGCGAAGGUUUCCAAUUCAGGAAGGAAAUGUUCAAGGGGGGGAUGACACAAGCCGAACUUGUGAAGAUGUGAUCAGAGAGGAAAGAGGUAAACAAGAAGAAAGAGAAGGAGAAGUUAAUGGAUUCUGUUUCUGGGAUGCAUACUUCUGACAAAGGCAGCGGUGGCAGUACGAGUCAUCCCGUGGAUAACACUUGUUCGCUUGUUAAGGAACAGCUCGCAGAUAUACAAGGUUCGUUGUCCGAGGCGUUGUUGAAAAUUUCAGCUCUUGACCAAGUUGUUUCUGGCUUUGAAGAAAAUUUGAAGACAAGUCUUGAUGUCAAAUUGAAAGAGAUGCAGGAAGAGCUUGUUUCCAACAUUCUUGGUUUGUUGGAUAAGUCGCUGUCGAUCAGUGGGAAACAAUCUGCUGGGAAGCAGAGAUCGGAUUGCGGUCAAGGGGGUAAUACAGCAAAUGCAAAGACAGCUCUUCGCGCUUUGAGUGCCACCAUUCCCCGGGUAAACGACGAUUUGAACCCAAAUGUCGUGAUUGCUGAUGCUAUCGGGAUGGUGAAUGCUCUUCCUGGAUCGGUUAGUGCAUAUUAACCUUCCAUUGGACUUCAAAUUUUUCUUUAAUUUACCACCAACUUAUAAGUUGCUUCAUUUGUAUCUCUAUAUAAUGUUAUAGCGAGAUGGCCAACAGGGCGAGGAUCUCCCCACCGCGAAAGGCAAUUCGAUUGCUAGCAAAGGAACUAACGCAUCUGGCUCUGAGGUUGGUGACAGCAACGACGUCCCGCCGACCAAUCCGGUAAUGACAUUCGCGGUAUCAAUAUGAUUAUCAUGAUAACAAUAUUAUUACACCCAUGUACUAGUCGAAGGUACCGUAAUUGGAAUAUAUAACAACGCCACAACACGGGAUAGCAGAGUAACAUAUAUGUUAGAAGUCCAAAUAUAUUGUUAGAGUCUACACUCCCAUUUAGAUUCGUAAUUCGGGAUUUUAGCUUGUUUCAGUGUCAACCUCUUGUUGUCUUUUUCAGGGUGGGGAAGAUGACCACGAUAUUUGCUGUGAUGUCGAUAGUGGCAAUGAUUUCGAUGACGAUGUUACUGAUUUCAAUGUCGCCCCACGAAGGGGUAAGAGACCUAGGAUCCAGAAUACGACCUUUACAGAUUACCAGGUUGAUACUCGGCUUUUGGCAUCCUCCAUGGGAUCGAACCCAUUUUUAUGUCCUCUCGAACAACAGAGGAUUUAUUUUGAGAAGUUUGCACGGUUGCUUUCAACAGUAAAAUCGCUAUGGUAAGUUACAGUCUGUAAAGUUCGUGGUUGUUUUGAGGUGCUUUGUUAAUUGUUGGAUUUCAUUGCAGUGUGAUCAGCCUCGGGGAUGGAUCAUCUGUUACUGCUAAAGACGUGGUUGAAAUCGGAGAGAGGACUAAACCCAUGUUGGCAAAGGUAAGACCUGGGGAUGGUCAUCCGUAAUCUGAUUUAUGUUUAUUCUAUAAAAAUGUGUUUACCUCAUAUAUUAAACUCACAGACAAUUGGUUGCAGAUGAUGGAUGCUCUGUUGCUCUAUGCCCGUGCAGUGUAUAACAAGCUCUAUCCCAAGCCAAGUCACAAUAAGACCGAGUUUAUGGAGACGAAAUUUGUUGCUCAUCUCAUGAAAUGCUGGGGGAAGUUCAAAAACCUUGCUCCCAAAGACAAACCAAAGUUUGUAUUUGUCGAUGUGUCAUGGAAUACCUGGAACCAGAAACACCCGAACAACCGCCACCAGAAAGAUUGUAUUUGCCUUUCAAUGUGGACAAGGAGCAUUGGAUAGCAGUUUAUGUUGACGUCCUGGGAGGGUCGAUAUUGGCUAUCGACUGUAACACACACUUCGGACGGAGGCGGCCGUUAAAAAAGAGAUUACACCUCUAGCAUAGAUGUUGCCGUAUGUAUUGAAAAGGUUAACGGGUUACAAACGUUUUAUCGACUGUAAAAUCUUCUUGAUACAAAGAGCCAAAGGCAUUCCCCAGAACCCCAUAAGUACCGAUUCUGGAGUAUCUGCUGCUUUUUAUGCAAUGCUCCAUUGUAUUGGGGGUGUGGAGAGAUGCAAGUUGAUGACCCCAGAAGAACUUGUCAAUGCGAGCCAGGUAUUGGCUGUGAAAUUCUUUGAGGAAUUUGCUGAAGAACUCUGAUGAUUUCCUGGUCUUGUUGGUAAUCCCAUGUGAUUGGGUUUAUUGUCGUUGUAUGAUAACCUUAUUUAUACAUUUGCUUGCAUUACUGUUGUAGUUUGAACUGUUAUCUUUCGAUUAUUCAGGAUAUUUGUUCAAGUAUCAGUUUUCUUUUAUUGAUUACGUCUAAACCGAUUACGAACAGAACUAACUAAUUUGUUAGCAAAUCUAAAAAACGUGUUAGCAAGUCUAAAUUAUUUACCACAAGGGUAACGGACAAUUUGUGUGGAACCUGUAUCGUUGGCAUUAUCUGAUUUCCAGACAAAUUCUUAACACUUCUAACCAAUUUAAUAUAGUUCUACUCUGACUUAAAUCGUAGUUGUUUAAUGCAUUGUAUUCCAAAAAACGUACCGAUCUAACACCCCAAAAUACAUGCUAACAAUAUCUAUACUAGUCGUUAACAUUAUUAAUGGAUUGUAAACAUACCAAUUAGCGGACUAAUAAACUUAUUGAAGAAGCAACACAUUUACAUUUCGCCAGGAUGCGUAUAUUAGUCGUUCCCUCCGUCAUUGUUGGGUGUCUGCCAACUAGGUUAUAGGUUUAAUGCAUUAUAUAACAAAUCAAAUACCGAUCUAACAAUUCAAGUAUGUGCUAACAAUAAUCAUACAUAGAUUUUGUUCUUCAUUAAACAUUAACCAACAAAGGAAACAUGGUUUUGUUAAGCACCGAAAGAAACAAGUUCGAGGGGAUUCGACCACACCCCCUAAAAUAUAUUACAUCAAACUUAAAAGGAGUACUUAAAGGGGUCCAGAACUUAACAAAAUAUUACACAAAAUAGUUAUUAAUUCAGAUGGCCCCAUCAACAAAGAAGCAGACCAAAAACCAACUCCACUGCUUCUCUCCUUGACUCUUUUUCCCACUCGUCCUAAAUAGGCAUCUUGCACGUGGCGCAGUUGUGACCGAAUCCACCACAGCGACCACAAACACGGAACAGGCUUGGCUGGGUUCCCUUCAUUAAAUUGUACAAACUAUUUUUAAUAGAUAACCAAAGUAUUGGUGGUCUAAUAUGGAAAGUAAAUGAUAAUUAUCUAUGUACCCCAAACUCUCCGCGGGAACAGAUAUGUGUUUUGCGCGGCCUCCCCGGUGGUCGCCUAGUACGAGGCGGAAGCAAAUUCAGUCCUGAAAAGUCAUCACCAACUGCAAUGGUCGGGAUUGGUGCUGUUACCGGAUAUAUGCUGCACUCGUACGCCUUUCUCCAGAACGUGGUGCUGUACUCAGAAGCCAAAAAAGUGUCAACCCUUGUUCCCGUACGGAUUGCGCCAACGACAGCGUGUGGGCAAGGGAAGCAUAGCAUCUGGAACUCGUUGCAGCUGCAGCACAUUGUUUCGAGAUUGACCAGGAAUGGGACGCCUUCCUUAUUCCUCACCUCAUACUCGACCUCAUUAACUCUACGGAAUGAGAAUCCCGUUGACAUUUCGAAGUUGGUCGCAAGGAUCUCCUCCACCUUUGGUGUUAGGGUUGUACCACAAUGGUUAGCACUUAAACGUGUUCGGGUAAACCAUCCCAUCAGUGUGGCGCAGAUGCAAUCCACCAGUGGGACGAUGGGGUAGUCACGGGCACUUGACAGGACAUUGUUUAAAGAUUCAGCCACAUUGCUGGUCAUGAGUUGUAACGAACACCUGGGAAAUGGGAUCUCGCCCAGUGUUCAAAGCCGAUAGAAGGCAGGUAACUUGCGCAUCCCUCGUCCAUGGAUCGAAUCUCAUCAAAAUACUCAUAGUAUUCCGAAGGGACGAAAGUCCUGGCUGCCUUCGAGACCAUGUAGCUUAGAUAUCUUUUCUUGAAAAUUGUCUGCACAUUCCGCUGGAGAUGUACGACGCAGGCACAGUGGUAAGACUUGGGGUAAACCUACAUUGUGAAUAACUUACAUCAGCUAAUAUCCCUCGAAGACGGAUAUAGAAUAUGGUAGAGCUGAUAUCAUAUCUAUAUUAGUCGUUAACAUUUUGACUAGAUAGUAAACAGAUCUAUUAGCGGAGUAAUGAAAUCUAAAUACUAUCUCAACAGGUCUACUUAGACUUAAAUCGUAGUUGUUAAAUGCAUUAUAAUACAUAGAAUUUACCGAUCUAACACCCCCAUAUAUAAGCUACCAAUAUCUACAUUGGUCGUUAACAUUAGUAAAGGAUUGUAAACAUACCAGUUACCGGAGUAAUAAAUUCAUUGAGGAAGCAACGCAUUUACCUUCUGCAGGGCUGCAUAAAUGGAGUUAUGUCUGUCGGAGAUGAAGACCAAAUCUUCGUUAUCAGGUAUCACCUCCACCAGCUUUUGGAAAAACCAAGUCCAGGCCCUAUCGUUCUCUCCGUCAACGAUUCCAAACCCCAGUGGGUACAGCUGGUGGUUACCAUCUUGAAAACUAGCUGUAAGCAAACAACCUCCAUAUUUCCCUUUCAGAUGUGCCCCAUCUACAACUAUAACCUUUCGCAUGUAUGGAAUCCCGUUCAGACUUGCUCCAAGAGCAAAGAAGAGAUAUUUAAAUCAUUGCCCGAAACCAACUUCGUUGUCUGUUUCCAAAGACACAAUACUGCCAGGGUUUGAGAUAACCAUACUUUGAAGGAAAUUUGGAAGUUCUCUGUAAGACGUUCCAGCAGCCCCCAAACUUCCUUCCCUUGCUAUCUCUCUUGAUCUCCAAGUCUUCCAGUAAGAAAUUGGGAGGUCAUGUUCAUCCCGCAUCAUAUCCCGCAAUUCGUUAGGUCUUGGUCCAACCAGACCUCCGGCAUAUCUGUUCUUCACCAUAUCACCAAUGACCGCUGUUGUGGCUUGUCUGUGGUACUGGCCACGAUCGUCAACCGUGCAGUUAUGUGUCAACGCCGCCUUCCUUAUCUGGAACCAUUCGAUGCCCUGCAUCUUUACGGCAUAAACCCGCCAUGGACAGCUUUGUCCCACACAUUCCAACACCAUCAGAUUCGGUGUUGAUCGUCGGUUGUGGUAGUGGAAUUUCUUCGCAAUGGCGUACAGUGACAUGUGUAGCUUGAAAGCAUUCUGGUUUUCGAACACUAUUCCCACGUACAGCAGAUCUGGUUUGUUCACACCAUUACCUAAGAAUAAAGGAUAAUUUAGAAAGUAGCACUAUAAUGCUAAUGUUAGACUUUGACUAAUGAAAUUGGUGGUACACGUCCCACUCACAUAUGUAGUCUCCGUCGUGGUCAGGGAGAUCAUCAUCUGAAACCAGAACCGGCUUAUUCGGCACGCCGCUACCCUCCCCGGCGUAUGCGAUUGUCAAUCCGAGGAAUGGACUACCGGCAGCAUCAUUCGGCAUCAUAGAUUUCCCCUUAUCGUCAGUUGGAGGGAUGUUGAUCUGGCCACCGCUCGUUGAACCUGAAGAUAGAGCCGAGCUUCCAAUUACUGUAAUAACAAAGUUAGCCGUUAAAUCAUAAUGUACCUCAUACAACACUAUAGUUAGAGGGUAAUGGCAAUGUCAUAAAAUGGAUUAAAAUAGUCCGUACCUCCACCCAUUGUAGUCCUUAGGGAGAGGUUGGCUACUGCGCGAGUUACAUGCGUUUGUGGUUGAGCUGAGAUGGGGUCACCGUUUAAGAUUCCGAUGUCCAAACUUUCUAUUCCCUCUUCAUGAUGCAACUGGUUGAACUCUCCACUGGAGGAUCCGGAUGAGCUGUCAUCGUUUUCGAUGGGUGGUUGACGAGAAGACUCCCGCUGUGUGUAGGCAUUAUGAAACUCCAUGAUGUACCGCUGCUCUUCCUCAUUAAAGAUCUCAUGGAAUACACUCUCAGCAAUCAGCACCGUUGGUCCCUCCAAGAGGCCUUCCCAAAAAUUGUAAACAUCGUAAGUCCACCACAUGUUUUAUCAUCAUACUUUGCAUGUUCAACGGUAUUAAAUGAAUUAUCGCUGUAACCAAGAGGAUUACCAGGGAUUUCCCGAGUUGGACGACUAAACCCAGGCGGCGGUCCGCUAACAUCACCAGUGAGGCGUCGAUCACGAUGGUAGCGCUCCACGUUUUCGUUUCCCACAGUAACACAAAUGGCCAGAGUCUCCACCUCUACUCGGAGAGCCAUGAAGAGUUGGACAUCGCCAUUGUUGAUGAUGUCGAAAGGAGGAGUCUUCCACACUGGAGUUACACAGAUGCUUGGAGGGGUCUGGUAGGUCAUUGCCAUCAUGUCGUUUGGAUCGAGACUGUACCGGGCUCUCAUCAUUCCAUCAAGCGACUCGAAGGUUUCUCCCUCUGACAUCAGGAGUCUGUACCCUCUUCCGGGUGUCUCCACUUCAAAAUCCCAGUCACCAUCUGCAGUUUUGUUCCACACACCUCUUACGUACUUCACCAUCAAACUCAUUUCACCUGGAAUAUGUAAACGGUAAAUGUGUUUUAGUGUUGUAUAACUCGAAUCCAACAAAUUUAUCUCAACAUAAAUGAGCUAUAAAUGCAGUCGUUCAUUAAUUACUGUACGAGGUUCGUUUCUAUCUGCAUUUAAGUCUCAUAUAAGCAAUGAAUGUAAGAAUAAAUGUACCUUGUUUCUUGCACUCGAACUGAACUUGCUGAUAUUGUUAGAUCGCACAAACAAAUUUCUUUCUUUUUGUCUCUGUUUGCAGGUCUAACUAUGGCGUUUUCUCUGACUGGACUGCUAAGAUUAUCUAUACAUACGAGAAUACAGCGAUAUGGCGCAAGGGUCAAUGUAAUCUAGCACGUAUCUCAGCAUUUAAUGCGAUAUUCAGGCGGGAAAGAAAUGAGUGGUUCAUGGUGAACCGCGUCGACAUACUAGAGAUUUUUUCUCUGUUGCUGCGCAGGCUAAGCCUCCCUAUAACUAUCAUUACACCCCUACUAAUACUUUCCGUAAUAUUAACAGGGAUUUACAGGAAAGAGUUUAAGGGUUUCGGUGGUAAUUUCCUCUGCUUCUUCCCCUGCUAUUCUGCAGAUACGGUGGGACCAUGGUUAUCUUCGCAAAUACGGUGGUUUUCAGCAAUAUUGGACUUAAUCACUCAUUAAAGAAUGAAAUCUAUAUUCCUUUUGUAAAGAGAAGCUCCAUCAUCAUAUUAUCCUUCUUCCUUUUUUGAGAAAGUUCUUGAGACUCCAUGAUGGUCACAUUUGCAGUUACAUAGUGAAAUUGAUUAUUUUGAGACAGUAGAACUGAAAAAGAGAAUGAUUAAAAAUUAAACAAAAUAAUUUGUAUUAAAAAUUGAUUUUUAUUUUAUAUUAUUUAUAUUUCCUGUAAAUAACAGUAAUAACCCAGUAACUUUAAUAGUUAAUACAAACUAUUUGAUUAUAUAACAUAGUUAAAAAACAUGUUAUAUUGUAUAAUUUUUUUUAUAACCACUAUUGACUUUUUUGUAGUAGCCAAAAUAUUAAGACUCUCAGCAUUUAAGUAUAGUUUUGUAAAAAUAUGAAUACUAGAAUUUAUUAUAUUACAAACAUUAGCCAAUUUCAUAAUAUAAUAUACUAAAUACAAAAAUUUCAUUUAGUAUUCUUUUUUUUUUGUGCAACCAGUUACUUCGAUUAAUCAAACGAAACGAAAGAUGCGUGAACCGCAUACAAAGAGUUAUUCCCGAAGGAAGCAGCAAAUACAUAAAAUAAACUUAUGAUAAACUUGAUAGAAGUGAAAACAAAUCUUCUGGUGAGGAGUGGAAUCCUCGAGAAUACCACGAAGUUCGAAGUCACAAAAGCCUUAGAUGAUGGCUCAACCAAAUGGAAGGAGUCGGAUUUUACCGAGAUUAUCCUUAAUUCUUCAGAGAUAGCUUGAGAAAGAUCAUCUGCCACUAAAAUGGAAAUGACGAGUUCAAGGCGUUCAAAGCCUUGGGAUAAAGACACCAUAUGCGAAAACACCUUGGAUUUACUCAAAUGAUCCUGAAUUUGGCAAAUAAACUUUGUGAAAGAUUUAUGGACAGGUACGGAUACCACAAGCAAAGCUGCUUUGGAUUUACACAAAAUACCUUCCUGCCGUUCAAGCAAGACGACAUGGAUGCCAUUAAAGGCCAAAAACGUGGGAAUGCCGGAGAAAACAGCCUUCAGAACAUAACUAACUAUAUCGGGAUUCCACAAGAUCAAAAUCCUUCUCUCAACAAGCAGUCCAUUUCUUACCAAAGAAAAAGAAGCAGAGAGUGAGCAAAGGGGAACCUGGAAGACCGGCUCAGUAAAGUAGUACAAUGCUCUGGAAGAUGCAGACAUGGAAGCAGGACCGCCCGACUUCGUUGCUAGAGAAACUUUUGAUAGCUUGUAAGCAGUUUGUCCUCGAAACUGUCUAAGAUUGAUCAAAAGGAGAUAUAGCGAAGAAGAUGACAAAUCUAGCGAAUGGAGGCAAGGUGGAAAGCUGGCAAUAGAGGAGAGAGGUGAGAUGGCGUGUCGGAGAGAGGGUGUGGCGGUGAAACGCAGAUGCAGAGAUGGUGGGACUGAGCUGGUGGUGACGUGACGGCAAGAGCGAGCAUAAAUCGAAAGUACAUAAACAAGUGAGAGUAACGACGGAGAGAAUAAUAAUUUGCCGGCGCUUGACUCACAGCCAAGGCCGGAGCAAGGCUCGACCCAAACCCAGUUGAAGAGAGGAGGAAACGACAACAAGAAGAUUGGACGGAGAAGAAGAUGUUAGAUCGGUGAAACUGAGUCGAGCGGCUGCCUGGGGAAAUGUGCCUGGGAGAGAAAGAGUUAGGGCGAACUCUACCUAUUUGAAUUAUUUACCUAUCUUCAAAUUACAUUUAGUAUUCAUUAUCAUGAUUUGGAGCAAAUUAUACCAAUCAAGAACAUCAAUAUCCCAAUUCUUAUAUAUGAUAAGUAAAUAUAAUAUUUUUGUACAACCAGUAGUACAUGCGUAUAUAAGCAUGUAGACUAAAAUUUUGGUAAGAUUAAUCAUGCUUGAAAAAUUAUAAUUACUUUACAUUUUUAUUGCUAUUCUACUAUUGUUGUCCUCAAAAUCUGUCAGUAGUAACAAAUAAAAAGUUAUAUUAAUAUAUGACAAAAAAUUGGUCUUUGACUAAAUAUUUUAAAAAUCGUCGCGAUCUAUAUACCAAUUUGAAUCCAUCAGAAACCAAGUAACUAACUUUCAAUGUACUUAACAUCGGUCCAACUACAUUCAUUUUUUUAACAAAAAUUCAAGCUUGCACAUGCGUGCGGACCAGUAUCCUAGUAAAAACUUAUAUGAUAUACCAUUACAAAUAACAAAAAUAAUUAAAAUACUGUUCCUUUGUUACUUUUUUUCAAGUACUGUUCCUUUGUUACUUUUUACUUUUCUUUACUAGUAUUAUAUAUAUAUAUAUAUAUAUAUAUAUAUGAAUAGAAAAAAAUCACGUUUUUCUCAUAGUGUCUUUCGUUGAUUUUGGUUUUUCGGUUGAGUAUGAUCAGUUGUUGUAUCGUAUCUUUAGUUUUAGUUAUGUUUAUAAUGUUUGAUUUUCUUUGUUUAAGUAUGCAUUUAGAUCAAUAUUACCACGGGAAGAAAAAAAAAAUCAGAGGCACCAAAUGGAGCGUUGUACUUGUGCUUGUUACGAAAGUCCUCUUUAAAGGAUACUAGAUUCUAUCCUAUGCGUCAUAAAUUUUGUUUUUUUUUAAUUUAAUUUGAUAUUAUAAUUUACAUAUUUUAUAUAUGAUUUUUUAGUAAAUAACACAAAUUUAUUUUUGUGUUUAAAUAAAAUUUAUUUUUUUAAACUUAUUUUUUCUAAUAAAUUUGACAACGAUUAUAAAAACAUAAUUUUAACACGUCCAUUCGAUUGAUCUGAAAAAGACUAUGAAUAUAAAAACAUAAUUUUACCCUAUUUUUUCAUAUUAUAUAUAAUAUAUUUUUUAAAUUUUAAAUAUUUAAAUUUUAAAAAUAAUUUAUUAUUAAAAGUAUUCGUUUAUUAUCAGUAUCAGAAUAUUAUUUAAAUUUGAAUUUUUUUUUAAAAAAGUUAAUAUCUUAUUUACUAUUUUGUAAAAAUAAUAACAACUGAUUUUGUAAUUUUGAUAAUUAAUCCUAACUAUAUCUAAGAAAAUCUAAACUAACUGAAUUAAAAUUUAAAAAAAUUAAAAUUAAUUUCAAAGAUAAAUUUUAAAUAUAUUGUUUUAUUAAUUUUUGGAAAUAAAUAAAACAAAAAAUAAAAUUAAAAUUUUUUUUGACAACAGAAAUAAUAGAUAUCCACUAGUAGAAUAGUAGAAGACUAAAAAAAAUCAGUUUGACAACAGAAAUAAUAGAUAUCCACUAGUAGAAUAGUAGAAAACUAAAAAAAAUCAGUUUGAACACAAAACAUACUUCAGUUUUAAUAGAGAAACCAUUUAAUUUUUUUUUUCAUGGACAAACCAAUUAGAAAAUUGGUCAAAGAAAAUUAGUCAAAGAAAAUUGGACAAAUCAAUAUUGGUAAUAUACGUCAUCUUUAAGCUCCGUUAAUAGUUUAAAUGGAAUUGGUGAAAUUAAUGAUCCUAAUUUCGAUCUCUAUACUGUUUUUUUUUUCUGUUGAAGAAAAUGUUUAAGUGGUUAAACAAAAAUAUUGAACAUUGGUGCAAAUUUAAAAAUUUGAAUCUAGAAGGUUUUAAAAAAUAAAACAAAAUUACAAUGUAUUUACAAAAUAAAAAGGAAAGUUAAACUCAAUCUCGAAAAAAAUUAACAUAAAGAAUGAUUUAGAUGUACUAUGAUAUCGAUUAACAGAAAGAAUGAUUUAGAUGUAUUAUAAGGUCGGUUGGAGAGGGGUCCGAUUGAUAACUCCGUUUAAAUAAGACGGUUAGAGAAUUUUGAGCGGUUGUAGCUGAGACAAUUAGAAAAGAGGUGAUUAAAGAAAGCGGUUGGAAAAGAUGAGUUUAUAACAGAAAAUUGUUGAAAAUCAUGCUUGAUUGGUAGCAUUACAGCGGUUGAAUAGUAUAAGUGUAUAAAACUUUUUGUUCAAUUUUUUUAGAUAAUUAUUUAUAAAAUGAUACAAUAAUACAUAGUAUAAACUUUAUCAUAUGAAAUUUGAGUAAACAAAAAUUAUAAUUAUUAUUUUACUACUUUUAAGAAGUUAAACGUAAUAAUUUUUUUCAAUAUCAGUGAUGAUAAAUAUUUUUAAUAGCUUUAAAAUGCAUAAAUAUUGUCUUAUAAAUAUUCUUUCUAAUACUUUAUAAUUCAUAAUCUAUAAGAUGAUUAUAAAAAGAUAUGCACAACCAAUGUAGGAUUUGGACUGAUUUAAAUAUACAAAUACAUCUUUUUUUUUAUUUUAUUUUUGUUUUGUCGAAUGAAUUGAAUCGAAUGAUAUAACUUUACUAGUUUAUUUAUUAGAAAUUAAUAUCAAACUAAAAAAUUUUAGUAUUAAAAAAAUUCUGAUUACAACUGUUCGUUUGCUCUAAACGUCAUUUUUUGAAUAGUUUGUAAUCGUCCUAAAAUUAAUUUCCAAUCGUCAAAAAAAUAUGUUUCAACAGUCCAUUUCAAAUGCUGAUUACAACUGAGGUUUUAAACGCUUUCUCCAACUAACGUUGCCGAUUGGUAGCAUUUUUUCAACUCUCCCUCCCAACCGUGCAGUUGAAUGCCACCAAUCAAACCCACAAUUUGUCAAACCAAAAACAAUAUCACGUAAUUUAAUGACGUGGCAUCAUCUUGUCUAGUCACCAUUUUCUUCUUUGGUCUCUUCAGCUUCGGUCUAAUCUCUGCACCUUUUUUUUUUUGUCGUCAUUCGUUUUAUACCGAAACCCCAAAAGGGGUAAAGCGUUGGUACAAACAAGGCCUAAUAUCAGCCCAAAUACAAAGAUAGUUUUAGACACGUACAUAGACAGAUGUAAAAACCAUAAACACCAAUGACACGUGUCAAGAUGAAGAUCAUAUCGUCAUGCACCACCGCUUUAGUUUCUGGUGCGCUGGAACUCGCUGCCGACGACACUUCAACCUCCAGCUUCCGGCUUCACGAUGAUGCUUGUGAACCGCCGCUAGAGCUUCUUCUACAAUAAAGAUCUUGGGUGGUCAAAAAUCUUCUCACCUCCAUUAAAAAGACAUUCGAUCAUCUUUGACUCAUGACUAUAUAUUACCCUCCACCUUGAAAAAGGUUUUUCGUGAGGGAACCAAGGGAGAUUUAACAUCCCAACCAUGAGAGGACGAUGCCAAAUGUUGGAGUAGGAGCUUUCACCACCAUCACCUUACCACCUCUUAAAAGAAAGCGGCCAGAUUUGUAGAAGAAGCACAAAGUCCGAAAUCGAAAAAACCAAUUGCUUAUAAGCAAAAGGAGAUUCGAAAACGGAAAAGAAAAAUCCGGUCAUAGCCGGAAAACUGAAAUCCGUAGAACGGAAAGAUUAUUACAUAUAGAUCUGGUUAUACCAGAAUUUAUUUUUCCGAUCGAACGGACGAAAAAGCAAAAAAGGAAAAUCGCCUUCUCUCAGUGAAAGGUAUGAGAGAGAGAACACAGAUAGGUUUUUCCGAAUUCAUUUAAUCUCUGCACCUAUAUAAUCAACCAAUUCGCUUUACUCCAACUAGAAGGACACAAAAAAAAACUGAGAAUUACGUUUUCAAAUAGACAAUUUACCUCUUUGAUUUGUCUCAAAACAUUAAAUCAAUCUCCGGCAAAUCAAAUGUCGCCGGGAAAAUGAGUAAUCCGGUCAUUUUUUCCUCUUUUACCGUUCUUAGUAACGAUGUUUCCGACAAUUGCCGUCAUGUUUUCCGUGAAAAUCGUCGGCGUUAAGAAUCUCCGUUUUUCUUACUGAUUUUUUCAGAGGAUCGUAUAGUUUUUCUACUUGGUAGUUUCUACUUUCUAAUAGCUGAGAGGUUUUUUAGUAGAUUUUGUUUCUUCUUCUCUUCUUCUUGUGAGGUUUUGAAGCUGUGGAGUUUCCGAUUUUGAAUUUUCCUGGAAAGAGAUCUAAAAUCUGGGGAAGUUUAUGAGUGAACUUUUGAAUAUAUUUGUUGUUUGAACGGAGAAUUUACUUGGUCCUUACUCCGCCGAGAGAGAAAUCAGAUUAGAUCUAUAAUCAAUGCCUUUUCCGAUGAAGAUCCAGCCGAUUAACAACGAUUUUCCGGCGAGUAGAGACUCAGCUCGUGUGGAAUCACGAAAACCAGUGCUCAAAUCUCGCCUCAAGCAUCUCUUAGAUCGGCCGUUCACGAAUGUUCUGAGAAGCUCAAACUCGGAUAAAUCACUCAUCACUUCCGCCUCCGAAGACGGCGUCGGAACAGAGUUCGAGCCUAGCUCCGUCGCUUUAUCGAAGAUGGUUCAAAACUACAUGGAGGAAACCAACGAGAAACAAGGUAGAAACGGACGCAAUCGCUGCAAUUGUUUCAACCGUCGACGAAUAGCUCCGACGACGAAUUCGAUUGGUUUGGUUUCUCCGUCGAUUCUCUUAACGACGCUUAUGACCAUUUCAAGGUAUUUAAACUCAGCUUCUCUUUUUCUUCCUCAAACCCAAACUUAGGUUUAUAUCUCUUAGCGAAUUCAUCAUCGUCCAUGGUUUUUGAACAGAGCUUGAUUCCAUGCGCGAGCGUCGCUGAGAGGAAUCUGUUAGCUGAUGUUGCCAAGAUUGUUGAGAAGAACAAAUCAAUCAAAAGGAAAGUCGAUCUGAGGAAGAUCGUCGUCGAUGGACUCUCAUCUCUCCGAUACGAUUCCUCAAUUUGUAAAUCGAAAUGGAAUAAAACUCGGUCUAUACCGUCAGGUACGAUUUUCAUUAAACCGGUUCUCUUCUUCUUCGAUUCUCAUGAUUUUUUGUCUGAUUUUUUUUUUAAUUUCGGAAAUUUUCAGGUGAGUAUGAGUACAUGUGAUUGUGAACGGUGAGAGGUUUCUAAUCGACGUGGAUUUUCGAUCGGAGUUUGAGAUCGCACGGCAGACGAAUGCUUACAAGUCGUUGCUUUAAUCUUUACCGUUCAUCUUCUUCGGAAAGUCUGACCGGAUUCGUCAGAUCAUUUCAAUGGUCUCAGAGGCGGCGAAGCAGAGUUUGAAGAAGAAGGGGAUGCAUUUUCCGCCAUGGAGGAAAGCUGAUUACAUGCGAGCUAAAUGGCUGUCUUCGUACACCUGAAACUCCGCCCAGGAGCCGCCGGUUUCUUCCGCCGCUGUGGUUGAACCGGAGCUAGAUAAGUCGGAGAUUGAGCUGAGUUUUGAGGAGAAAUUUUUGUUGUCGGUGUAAUCUUCUUCCUCUCCUCCUCCGUUGGUUACUGGAAAUGAUAAUGUGGCAAAGCUGUUGGAGAGAGAAGCGAAGGUUGUCACGGGAUUAGCUUCACUGUUCAAAGAAAAUCCCUAAAAAAAUUUUUGGAUUUCUAAUUUUCCUAAUUUUCUAGUUAAAAAUUUGAGAAAAUCUGCAAAAAUAAAGAAAACAAAAAAAAAAAUGAGAGUAAAAAGCAUAUAAAAAUAUAACAAUAGUAUAUCUUUCUCUUUUUGGGACAUCUUACUUUCUGUUAAAAAUGAUUUUUUCACCACGAUAUUUACCUAUCUUUAAUGUGAUGAUGUGUAGGUUUUUAUACCUUUUAAUUAUGUUAGUUUAUGUUUGUUUUCCCAUAAUAGAUGACACUUCCUCAUUUCAUUUUUUUUAUCGACUACCAACUAUUACAUUGUUGGCUGGGCUGAAGGCAGUUUUCUGAACUGUCCUCAAUCGAUUCGGUAUGAUCGAUGUGGGUGAAUAUUUGUCAUCUUGCUCAGGCUCCUUUUGCAAGACUGUCUGCCCGGACAUUUUCACUUCUCGGGAUGUGGGAGAUGGUGAAAUCUGAGAAGCUCUCACGAAGGAUACGUAAAUUUUCUAGCUCAGACGUAAAAAGCAGCCAAUCAGAUGGGGAUUCUGUCAUAUUCACUAGAUCGGAACAGUCGGUCAGAAAAAACACCGCUCUUAUGUGCCGUUCUCUCAAGACUUCCAUAGCCCACAAGAGACAAUCCAUCUCCGCAUGGAGGGCGGAGAGGCUUCUGCGGCAUCCUUGUUGACCAGGCUCCACCCGAGUCUACUAACAGGGUCGUGAUCAAUCCAAGAGGCAUCGAUCCAACAUGUUGGAACUCGGUGGUUCGCGGGGGUAGGUAUCUGGGGGGCGGGGGGGCUGGGGUCCCACCGGGUAUAUCCUCGGCUUCCUCUGGUUGGUUCGCGAUUCUCCAGCUCUCUGCUUCUACUUUUGCGUAGAUCAAAAUGUCUUGUGGGGAAAUUGAUUUCCUGUUGGAAAUUUUGUCGUUUUUUGCUUUUCAAAUGAGCCAUAGGAUCCAAGGAUAUACGUCUUUUUGAAGAUCCGUCAUACCUAUCUCUUUUGUUUGCCAAAAGAGAAAGCUCAUAUUUUGAUAAAUAGAUGUACUCAGGAAAAGGCCCGAAAAGGACGGGAAGUCCGAUAACGCCCAGACUUGAAAUGCCGGGGGACAUAAAAACAAAAGGUGAUUUAUAGAUUCUUCGGGAUCACCGCAACGGGGACAGCUUGUGUCGGAUCCAAGAUGUUGGUAUGUUAAUUUCUGGCAGGUAGCCACACAUUCUGAUAAUGCUUGCCACAUGAAGUGCUUCAUUUUGCAGGGUAAGCGGGUUUUCCAAACCUGACUUUGCAAUACCGUAAUGCUUGGUUCCGCAACUAUUGUGGGUUUCCAUUGUAAUUUUGUCCUCCUAAUUAGAUCAUAGCCCGUCUUAACCGAAUAGAGUCCUGAUCUGGAAUGGUUCCAUGCAUAUCCAUCCAGGAUACGGAUAUGACUAGGUCUCAGUCUUAGGAUCAGAGAGACAUCCUCGGGUUGGAAAAAAUUCCUCAGAAGGGGAACAUCCCACUCCUUUAUAUCUUGUCGGAUAAAAUAGUAAACCAGUAAUCCCGGAUCCUGAUAGCCGAUCUGCGGGGUGGCUCUCGCCGGCCGAGCUCUAAUAUCUGGGAUCCGUGGUUGCUCCAGACUCUUGUGUUUAGACCCGACUCUAUCGUCUUCCGCAAUCCAACAUUAGAUAUGGUUUCGCAGCUAAAAUGCUCCGCCACCCGUAGAACGGGGAGUAGACUCUACAAUCUUCCAAUGGGUCGGAUUGUCUAUAGUAUCGUCCUCGUAAAACCCUAGCCAGCAAAGACGAGGGGUAUUGAAUGAGGCGCCAUAGCUGUUUAGCUAGAAGGGCUAAAUUGAAAUCUUGUAGAUCUCGGAAACUUAGGCCUCCCAUAUCUUGGGGAAUACAUAUCUUGUCCCAGGCUAUCCAGUGAAUCCCUUUGUUAUUUUGUUUCGAGCUCAACCAGAAAUUAGCAAUGGCACUCCAUAACUCAUCAGUCACUCCUUAGGGAAUUAGGAAGCAUGACAUGACGCAACUAUGGACAGUCUGGGCGACCGAUUUAAUCUGAAUUUCUUUUCCACCUUUGGAAAGAAGUCUCGCAGACUAGGAAUUCAAUCGGUUACUUAGUCGAUCAUGGACGUAGGAGAAGACUUUAUUUUUUGAUCCACAGAUUUGUUCUGAGAGCCCCAGAUACAUACCCCUAGUACCCUCUGUCAAUAUUCUGAUAGCGUCCUUGAUAACUUGCUUCAAUGUCGUAUCAACACGGUUCACGAACAUGACAGAUGAUUUGCCUAAAUUCAGUUGUUGUCCCGAGGCUGAGCCAUAUGUGUUGAUGAUCUUAAAGAUCUCGGUUCCUUGUUGGAUAUCAGCUUGACAAAAGAACAAGCUAUCAUCCGCAAAAAGUAGAUGGGAGACUGGUGGGCUUGCUUGGGCUAUUUUUAGCCCCAAAAUUCGGUUUUCCCUUUCUGCUCCAUUUAGGAGUGAGAUCAGGACCUCGGUACAAAGGAUAAACAAGAACGGAGAGAGAGGAUCUCCUUGUCUUAAUCCUCGUGUCGAGGAUAUAUGCCUUUUUGGUUCUCCGUUUAUCAACACUUGGUAGGAUACCGAGGAGACACAGAACAUCAGAAGCUUAACCCAUCUCUCAGAGAAGCCCAAUUUAAUCAUUACAGCUUUAAUGAAGCACCAUUCCACUCUAUCGUAUGCUUUGCUCAUAUCGAUCUUGAUGGCCAUAAAGUUUUUUCUACGAACCGAGUUAGUGCAAAGUGCAUGAAAAUUUUCUUGUGCCAACAGAAUGUUACCAUUGAUCAGCCUCCUAGCCAUGAAGACCGAUUGGGUCUCUGAGAUUAGACUAGGUAGUGUCUUUUUAAGUCGUUUACAUAUGAGCUUUAAGAUUAUCUUAUAGCUCACGUUACACAGACUAAUCGGACAGAACUCUGUCAUAGCUCUAGGCUUCUCUUUCUUGGGGAUUAGACAUAUGUUGGUCUGAUUUAGUCUGGGAUCAAAAGAUCCUGAGUUGAAGAAAUCCUUUACUAAUUUCACAAUGUCAUGGCGGAAAUCCUGCCAUAAUCUUUGGUAGAACUUGCUUGUCUUUCCAUCAGGUCUCGGGGCUUUGUCGAAAAGAGCUUCUUUAAUUUCUACUUCUAUGGGGUCUUGGAUGAGACGCUGGUUAAAAGACUGUGAUACUUUCUCGGUGAUAAACCAGAGUGCAUUAUGUGGGUCUGGGGGUUGUGACGAGGUGAAGAAAUCUUGGAAAUAGUGGGAGGCUACUCGUUCAAUACCUUGUGCAUUUUCCACCCAGUUCCCAUUUCUGUCCCUCAGGGCGACGAUUCGGUUCCGGCUUCUCCUUUGUUUCGUGAUCGCGUUAAAGAAUUCUGUAUUUCUAUCCCCAGCUUUCUGCCAUUGUUCGCGACUCUUUUGUUUCCAGAAUGUUUCUUCCUCCCGUAGAGCAGUACAAAGGUUUCUUCUAAUUUCUUCUACUUCUUCUAAUGUAGAAUUUUUGUCGUCUUGGGCCGCAUUCAGUUUUGGUUUUUGAGUUCCUCUAUUAUCUUCUCAGAAUUAGAAGAUUGGGACUUUCUCCACUUAGAGAUACUCUUCCGACAAUUGGCUACUUUGCGAUGGAAAUCCUGACAUAGAAUUCCAUCCAAAGAGCUCCAGUCGGAGAUUACCGCCUCUUUGAACCCUGGUUUUCCCAACCAUCUUUUAUCAAAUCUAAAAGACUUCUUCCUUCUUCGAUUAUCCACUUGGAUUCUGGCCAUCACGGGAUGAUGAUCUGAACCCCAUAAUUUAAGGUAUUCCACCGAGGUGUGGGGGAAGAUUGAUUGCCAUUCUUCAUUCCCCACCGCUCUGUCAAGGCGACACUUGACCUUUCCGUUACGUCUUUUCCCGACACAUGAGAAAGAAUUUCCUUUAAAUGGAAAUUCGAGCAUCCCACAAUUAUCUAACAUAUUUCGGAAAUGAAUAAACGAGUAUUCCGGUCUCCGACUUCCCCCCCCCUUUUCUCAUGGUUUCCGUAGAUUUCAUUGAAAUCCCCAAUCAUAAAUCAUGCUUGUUCUCUGGAAAGACUCAUUUGGGUGAGACGUUCCCAUACAUAUUCUCGGUUUUUGAUGACCAGAUCUCUGUAAACGAAUGUCAAAAAGAUUUUAUGUCCGUCUAGAAUGGUUUCUACAUCAAUAACGUGUUCAUCCGAAUAGGAGAUAGUAACUGAAGGUUCAUCCAUAUAAAAAAGGGCUAGACCGCCGCUACGACAUCUCGGUUCAACGGUAUAAACAUGGUCAUAGCCAAAGUAUAUUUGCAUAUCUUGAAUAAAAAGCCGAUUGUUUUUAGUUUCUGAUAAAAAUAAAAAACGAGGAGAAAAACAAUGGUGCAAUUCUUCUAGGUGAUCCUUCGUCAGAUCGGCUCCCGCCCCCUGACAAUUCCAGCCUAUCACAUUCAUGGAUGGCGUUUAACCAAUUUUUGGGCUUCCUCCCCACCGGUUGCAGAGUUUUGUUUUUGCUUCUGGGCCUUGGAGCCCUUCUCUCCCUUGGGCUUAUCUUCUUGAUUUGCAGUUGGGCCUGGACCUGCUUUUGGGCCUUUUCCUUUCCCCUUAGUCUUUGGAGAGACACGGCCCAUAGGAAAGUUCUUCUUCUUCAGGGAUAAGCCGCGAGCCGCCGGCGAUCCCAGAGUCGGUUUCUCUCUUCCGGUCACCCUGGUGCUCUGUCCGCUACCGCCGCCGGUUUCAUCCCGAACUCGGUCUUUUCGGGGCUUCUGUACCAGGAAGCAACCUGGAAAUUCGGCGGAUUCGCCUCUGUUAUCGCGAGCUCAUCGAUUAUCUCCUGGUCUUCUCCUUUUUGGUCGUUCUCAGGGCUGUCUGCAUCUUUUAGGAGUUCGUCCAGUUCCCCUUCAUCAAAGAGAUCAUCAUCAUUCAUCCAUUCAUCUUCCUCAUCAAAGCCUUCAAUUGUUUCAUGGUUGAUGAGCAAAGCUGGAUCCUCCAUAAGCUCAUCAUCCAUGGGCUCGUUCUUCAAGGCAUUAUGAUUGGUCCUUAAGUCUCCGCCUGUGUCCAUAACCACUUCCAUCAGAAACUCGAGCUGUUCGUCGCCGUGCUUUGAUGUGGUAAGAAUCAUAGCUUCUAUAUCUUUUUCAAGAGUCUGUUCAUACCAAUUUUCGUUGAUACAUGGUUCCAAUGGGGGUAGAGUCAUCGCAUUGCUAAGCUUAGGCUGGCCUACAAAAGAGUUUGAUUCAAUUGGGAUUGCAGGUUCAAAAGUGAGAGCUUUUUUCGCUGAGUUGCCUGCUUCUGAAGAUUCACCGGUUUCAACAAUCUUCCCUAUCCCCAGAUUUGUUGCCUUGCUGGUAAGGGAGAGGUGGAAUGGUCGACUACGCGUGUGCCCCGGAGAAGAAAAUCCCUGUUUAGCUUUGGCUGGAGGAUCAGAGAUAGUUCUCUGAGAGUCAGAAGACUUAGCCGGCAUUUUUGGGAAUCUCGCCAAUGGAGGUUUAGCGGAGGAAUGGUCUUUUCCAAGUAUCUCUUUCUGCUUGUUCUUUCCCAUAUGUUUCUUGCUUGUUGCAAAAGAUUCUUCAUAUCGUCUCUUUCGAUAUCCAGGUUCAUUAUCUCUUGAGACUUCUCUGAUAUUGGGAUGAAUUUCAUCUAUGGGUUCAUGUCUUCUUUCGUACCGUCUUGAUUCAGAACGGUAACCAGAGUUUGUUUCAAUUCUGUUCCAUACGCUAUGAGGUCUUCUGUUAAAAGGGCGCCUUUCCUUGGGUAUUUGGUUCCCUUUCUUAUCCUUCAGUGGGUUAGAGCUUCCCUCUUUGGCCUUUGUCGAGAUUUUGCGGGUUUCUUUCUGCAAAGGGAGGGUGUUUCUGUCACGAAGGGGUAGAGAUAUCUGGCCUGCUUGUCUUCUCAUUUGCAUAACAUCUUUGUCGCGUAUCAAGUCUUCUCUCGAUGCUUGAGCUAAGUUCCUCUCAGCCUCUCUUUCCCUCAUCUUCUCUCGUCUUUGAUCUUCAGUGAGCAGGGGGCAAGUUCUCUCGUCGUGAGAGAUGUGUCUGCAGGUGAGACACCAACGAUCGAGCUUCUCAUACUUCAUCUCUACCCGAAUCACUGCGCCGGAUUGUAGCCUUGCCCUUGCUGUGAAUCUCAAAGGUUUAUCUGCAUUCAAGGAGAUUUGGAUCCUUGCAGCUCGCACAUCAACAACUCUUACAUCAGCCAGACGAUUUCCAAUGACACGGAAGUUUUCUUCCAUCCAGAAGUGUGUAGGAAUCCCCGAGAUUCUAACCCAGAAAGUCAUGUUAUUGGGGAAAGACUCCCCAACAUGAGGGAUCCAACGUUCCAAGGAGAAAGACCAGCGGUUAAAGUGACAUGGGCGCUUGCUGAACACACGCUGAAGGUCGGCUUCCGAAUCGAAGUCAAACUAGAACCGGGAGUUUCCAAGAUCUAUCCCGUGCACUCUGCCUUCAACGUCCCAGAUGUUCUGUCGAGGCAUAAAGGUGAUAAGAGCCUCUAUGCUACGGAUAUCUUGGUUAAACAUGCGUCCAACCAGACUUAAGUUGAAGUGAGCGAUGAGUUGAGAGUUGUCCACAUGGGGUAAGUCGAUGAUCUCUUCUUCAUCUUCGUCGUGGUUCUUGUUAGCAAGAUUCUUGUUGUUCUCCAUAGUUGUUAGAUCUAGGAUGUUGAGAAGGAGGUUCUGGUUUGAGUUUGUAGCAGAUGAGUUAAGACUUAGCACAAUGCUAGAAACAGAGAUUUAACUUAUAGAGUAACAAAAGCAUCCCACGAGGGAGAGGUCUUCGGUAUGCUCGUGAGCUUGAGGUAGGAUUAAUUGAAAUCAGCUUUUCGUCUUGAGCCAACGGAUUUGAUUUUUGCAGGUACAGAGGAUUACUUGAGAAUACACGCAAGGAAAGAGCUGUUUUUAGCUAUCUUUCUAAGUCUUAGCUAAGGCCAGCUCAUGGAAAAGUUACUUGUUUCAGGUUAUUUUAACUUCCAAGACCUUAGAGAAAGAGACUUUUGACGAGAAUUGGGGCCCGAGGCAUAGUAGAGGCUGGCGUAGGUCCGGCGGAUUGGAAGAGAGCAUAGCUAUUUGGGAAAGAGAAAGUAGAUGUUGAAUGUCAAAAGCAAAAUUCAAACAUUUUGGAAAAGUCUCGGGAAGAGGGCCUGAGAGCGGUUUUGGUACACUUACCCCCUCAUUUCAUUUUGUAAGUAAAAAAUGAAGUUAAAUUAAAAGCUUCUUCUCUUCAUCGCUUUACAAACAAAUCUUACUUUAUCAAUUAUAGUUUACAAAGGAGAUUGUGAAUAUAUAUCGGCUAUACGUCACCAAGUAUAAUUAGAUAUCAUGAACCGGUAACUGGAGAUAUGUUUACAGAACGUUUUGCCGAUUGCCACUUUGAUAAAAAUGAAUUCCCAGCGUUGGGGUAGGAUCAAGAGAAACGCCAAAGGAUAUCACAUGGUGUACACAAAUCUUGGCUUAUCUUGAUCCCCCUACCCAUCAACGCGAGGUUGAAGUUCAGAAAAUUAUGCAUUUGCAAAGUUUGGCAAACCAGUUACCUGAUGCGUUCACAGAUACGAGAAGGGUGACGAAAUCAUAUAUCCCCGCUGCUAAUGCUCCAUCAAAAAUAAAUGUUCCGGAACAAGUUAUUGAUGGGAAUAAAGCAAAUGAACCGCAUAUUCAGUUAAAGCCGCGGGAGGCCGAUGGGCUCGAAAGAUAAAAAUCCUCGAAAGAAAAAGAAAUUGGGAGACAAGGUUCCAGAAGAACCGAAUAAAGAAAAAUGUCUUGAAGACAUUGGUGAGAAGGUUAUAGAAGAACCAUAUAAAGAUAUAUGUCCUGAAGACAUACAUGAAGAUGUUCCAGAAGAACCAGUUAAAGAAGUUCGUCUAGAAAACGAACAUGAUACUGAAAAGUAUGAAAUUUCCAUUAACUUCGCCCAAAGUGGGACAUUAUGGGCUAGAAGUGAAAUAAAUGAUACAUAUGGAAUGUUCUCCUUUUUGGUAUCCAAGGAAAUUGAUAAUGAAUAUGAUGAUCCAGACCCAAGGUCCAUGUCAGGAUGCCAGAAAAUGCCUGACUGAAAGAAAUGGCAGAUGGCCAUGAGAAAUGAAUUAAUCUUCCUGAAUAAAAGAAAUGUCUUUGGACCUAUAGUCAUUACACCAGAAGAUGUAAUGCCAGUCGGGUGCAAAUGGGUCUUUGUGAGAAAAAGAAAUGAGAAAAACGAGAUCACAGGAUAUAAAGCCCGACUUAUGGCACAAAGUUUUUCUCAAAGACCGGUAAUUGAUUAUGAAGAUACAUAUUUUCCGGUCAUAGAUGCAAUCAUAUUCAGGUACUUAAUGAGCCUAACGGCAUCUUAAAAUCUAGAAAUGUACCUUAUGAAUGUUGUGACUGCAUAUCUAUAUGGAUCACUUGAUAAUGAUAUAUAUAUGAAAAUCCCAGAGGGAGUCAAGAUCCCAGAAAGAUCAAAGAUGCCUGAAGCAUCUAAAGAUAUAUGUUUGGUCAAAUUACAGCGAUCACUUUACGGAUUAAAACAGUACGGACGCAUGUGGUAUAAUCGCUUGAGUGAAUACUUGUUGAGUAAAGGAUACAUCAACAAUGCGAUAUGCCCUUGCGUGUUUAUUAAGAAAUCCUCAUCAGGAUUUGUGAUCAUUUCUAUAUAUGUCGAUGACCGGAACAUAAUCGGAACUCAAAAGGAGAUUGAUGAUGCAAGAACUCACAUGAAAGAAGAGUUCGAAAUGAAAGAUCUUGGAAAGACAAAAUUUUGUCUAAAGCUCCAGAUUGAGCAUUUCCAAGAUGGAAUAUUUGUGCAUCAAUCAAAUUACACCAAAAAGGUGUUAAAACACUUUAAAAUGGAUAAAGCAACUCCUUUGAGUACUCCAAUGGUCAAUAGAUCACUUGAUAUUAACAAGGAUCCAUUUCGACCUUGUGAAGAUAGCGAAAACGUAUUAGGUCCUGAAGUACCUUAUAUGAGCGCUAUUGUGGGCUUAUGUAUCUUGAAAAUUAUACUCGGCCAGAUAUAGCUUUUGCUACUAAUCUACUUGCAAGAUACAGCUCAUCUCCUACGCGCAGGCAUUGGAAUGGGAUAAAGCAUAUCUUUCGUUAUCUCCAAGCGAUCUCGUGGCGUUCUCAAAAACAGACUUUGGUCGCCACUUCUUCAAAUUAUGCGAAAAACAUUGCUCUCCAUGAAGCAUGUAGAGAAUGCAUAUGGCUCCGAUCUAUGACUCAACAUAUACAAGGUGCAAGUGGAAUAGUCAUCGAUACGGAACUAACAAAAGUGUUCGAAGAUAAUGCUGCGUGUGUCGCUCAACUCAAGGAAUGUUUCAUAAAGAACGAUCGAACAAAACAUAUUCCUCCAAGAUUUUUCUCUUACACUCAAGAACUCGAGAAGAAUCAAGAAGUGGAUAUCCAUUAUGUUCGCUCGAGUGACAAUGCAGCAGAUCUCUUUACUAAGGCGAUUCCCACUACAUCAUUCAGAAGACAUGUCCAUAGUAUUGGAAUGCGCCGACUGCAAGAUCUAUGAAGAAAAUUUAUAUUCAUCACUUUGAGAGAGAGAUUACGAUAUUGUACUCUUUUUCCCUUGUCAUGGUUUUUAUCUCAAUGGAUUUUUCUAUGAUAAAGUUUUUAACGAGACAGUACGUAAUAUGUUAUUAGUGAUGGAUAAUCAACAUGGAGUGUUAAGGAAAUGAUUUUCCACCAUAAUAUUUACCUAUCCUUAAUGUGAUGAUGUGUAGGUUUCUUUACCUUUUAAUUGUGGUAGUUUAUGUUUGCUUUCCCAUAUAAAUAGAUGACAUUUCCUCAUUUCAUUUUGUAAGUAAAAAAUGAAGUUAAAUUAAAAGCUUCUUCUCAUCAUCCCUGUAAAAUUUUCGCAUUGAUAUUCAAUUAUCCCCAAUUUCUAACCUAAUUGGUUCAGCCCAUAAUUUGAUGCCCUAGAGUUCGUUAAAUUUUUAAAUUAAUUUGGGGCUUUCGAUUCUCUUGCUAAAAAAUGAUUGAAUUUUGGUUUUGGACUCUUGACUUCAUAAUUUUAGUCGUAAAUUGAAAAUAUUAGGGUUAGGGUUGCAGUCAAAUUUAGAGAUUUUUUUUUUAUUAUGAGAUUCAUUGAUGGAAGAGGUUUUCAACAAAGUGUUCUUCACUGUUCAUAAAACACAAAAAUAUUUUUAAAAAAUAACUAAGCACCCCUUACACCAGCUCAUUGAUGGAGGUGCUUUAAGUCCAUAACACUUGAAUAGUUGUGAGACUCGUCUCUUCUCUUCUCUUAUUGUUUCUUUUGCUUUUAUCACCUGAGUUCUUGCGUUGUGAGUUGUGGUACUGUUAGUGUUAUUAUCAUAUUGGACCUCCUGGCUCUUCACACAUGCAUGGUAUAACGAUUUGCUUAUCUUAUAUAGUAUAUAUAUAUAUAUAUAUGUGUAGAUAUACUAAUUAAGUACGUUGAUGUCUUUUUAUGUUCCUACAUUAGUCGUUGGGGAUUUGGAGAUUCCUCUCCUGACUAUUCAAAUAUUUAGCUACUAUCUACUCUCUUGUAUCAUUUUCUCUCCCCAAUCAGUUUACUAAACCAUUUUCUUAACUUUUUGUGUGGAUAAAAUACUACAUUAUUGAUAGUUCUAAAUAUUCUAGACAUCAUUAAAAAUAUAAUUAGUUUUUAAUCGAUUUCCCAAGAAUAUUUGUAAGAGUAUUGGUUGAAUUUUCAGAAAUGUUAACGCUAUUCAGAGUUAAUACAUUUUCUCGCAAUAGAUUGAAGUUUUGGCGUGCAAGAAACAAAGUUUUGCAUUAAACUUUCAAUAAACAGAUUUCACAAGAUGUGUCCCUCAUAAUUGCAAUUUACAGGUCAGUAUGCUUACUUACGCGUUAAACACACACAUAUAUAUAUAUAUAUAUAUAUAUAUAUAUAUAUAUAUAAUUAAUUAAUUAAUCAUAACUAAAAGAUUUACAAUUGUAUAUAAACCCAUAUAAUAAUUAUUCUUACAAUUAUAUAACUGGUGCUUUAGAAAAAUAUAUUAGAAUUAUAGUGUAAGAAUUUAUACCAACUUAAAAUAUUAACAUAAUAUUUCUAGAAAAUUUUCAAGAUAAUGUGUAAAGUUAUUAAAAAAAAGAGAAAAAAACAUGGAGUAUAUAUUUAAAGAAAAGACAGAGAAGGAUUCCGUGUUAAUGUUUGGGACCAACCUGCAAGAUGGCGAGUCUAAUGGUAAAGAGACCUAUCUACAUUGACAUGCCUAAAGUCUUACUAACAUUAUUGACCUCAAAUUCAAAAAUACAUAAAUAUCCGAUAUGGAUGGUGUGGUUACUUUAUGUGGCGCAUUGACAUCGGCUGAAUCUGGUUAUUCACAUGCCUCUCAGUUUGUUUUAGUUACUAUAUUAGCCAAAUACUUUUAAAAAAAAUUAUGACAUAAAUAUACUUAGGAUCAUACAGUGAAUAUUAUGAUAUUAUAAAAAUGACAUGAAUAUAUAUAGGAUCAUAUUGUAGAGAUUAUGAUAUCGUAGAUAUUAUUACAUGAAAAUACAUAAUAAGGGCAGAUGAAUUAUGAUAUAUAGCUGUUUCUCUAUUUUUAGAACACACAAAUAAGAAAACUUAUCCGCAUUAACAUGAGACCCCAAAUAUUUGGUGAAAUGUGGUAAUAUUUUUUGUGUCUACCAAUCUACAUUUUUUUCUUUACCGUAAAAAUAACAUAAUAAACAUUUUGGAACACCAUAUUAAAUUUAUAUUAUCCACAAACUCUUGUAUAAAUAAAUCUGUAUUCUGUAAUCCAUGAUGCAAAACUAAAAAACAGUUGAUAUUACUCAGUAAAAAUUCUUCUUUUGAAUUCAAGUUACCUCAGAAUCUGUCCAAAAUAAAACAACAGAAAGAUUGAGACACUAUUAGCUAUAUGAAACUACAAAUAAUGAGAAACUUGAAAUCUCAAAAGCAUUUACCUUCAACUUUUAUUAAUAAUAUAAUUUUAAUUAUUAUUAUUUUUUUUAAUAUUAAUUUUGUUAUAUUAAACAUAUAUGAAAUAAAGUUUGUACAAAUAUGUGCAUAAUGAUAAAUCUAAAAGAUAGAUUAGUGUGUUAAGGAUCCAUAUUUAACUCAAACCCAUAAAUACUCAUGACAAUAUUUUUAAAAGUUGGUCUUUUAGUUUGUCCCACAUCGACAAACUUGGAUAGUUGAGAAGGGGAAGCAGCACUAUAAAUAAGAGUCUUCAUCUGUGCUUCAAUUGAAACGUUCUCGCUUAGGUCGUGGGUCAAAGAUCGAAUUCUGUGUUCGGUCACUCCAAUUGGGCUUGUAAAUAGGCCCGAUAAGAAAUCGGUUUUGGGCAGUUUAAAAUUAAUUAUUCGCUUAAAUUGACUGCAUGGUACAAAAUUGCGGCAGUUGGACUGAUCAGCGACUAAGCGGCUGAUUAAUUGUCAAGGUGGCUGAUUGAUCGUUUUGUCGAUAAACCUGAUUAAUCGUCGGAUUAUAUUAGCUUCUAUGGGUCAAAAUCUCUAUUUUCUAAUGAUGACAUGCCACGCUUUAUGAAGUUCUGCUAUGCUCCAGAACAAUAUUGCGUGUGCAAGCAAUGUAAUGAGUUGGCUAGAUCGGGUUUUGGAAAAAAGAAUAUUGAUAUGAAACUUCAUCUAGCUAAACCGGAGACUGCUGAUCUCAUGAUCACGAGAGAUAUCUAUGGCAAGGCUCGUCACAACCUUAUCAGAAGGCCUCGCCUUUUUCUCUCAGUCUCUCUUGAUAACGGGUGAUCGGGUGAUCCAGAAUUCAAAAAGAGUAUGAUGUAUCUCAAAGGGAAGAACAUAAGAAUCAUGCUCGCUCAGCCCGAAACGUCUACAAUAGCAUCUGAGGGAUUCUCGGCAGCAUGGCAAGUCCUAGAUUUGUUAUCUGGAAAAGGACCUUACUAUGAAGAAUGAAGUAAGAAGAAGACAGUCACCAGCCCUUUCAAGAUUAUAUCUGCUUAAAACCUCAUCACUUGAGAUACUUUAUUUUGUUGUUGUUAUAUCUCUCUCUAACGUUUGAUUGAUUCUGUAAACGAUAGAUUUGCUGAAAAAAAGAUCAAGAAAAACCUUUAUUGAUAUGAAAUCGAAAGAUACACCACCAAAGCGUAUAAUUUUGAAAGCAAUCUCCCUUGAAUCUCUACACCCAGAGAUCAAGUCCACAAGCCACAACAACCAUUAAAAGAAAAGUAAAACAAUUAGAAUCCUUUUAUACUUGAGGACUUUUACAGAUAUGAAGCGACUUGUAGUUGUUUCUUCACAUCUUGUGUGUAAUCCCAAAAUUAGUUUGAUUUUUUACAAGGCUUUUCAAAAACUCAAAUUCUUUACGCUUCUAGUUGUUAAAGUUCAUUUCUGGAAUGCAAGGAUUUGUAUAUCAAACCCUUUGCUUGAGUCAGACAAGCUUGAUGUAAAAGAAGCCAACACUACUUGCAUAGCAUAUUUUAUAGAUCAGGUAAGAGUAUAGGCAAAGUAAAGAAGUAAAUAGAGUAGAAAGGGUACCUUAUCAAGAAGAUUUUUUUGGAGAUUACGUUGAAUAUAGGAAAGACAAAAUUUUGGAAAUAAUCUAGACGUAAAACAAUAUUUCGGUAUUUCAUUGCAGUUGUCUGCAAAUUACAGAAGACAAACACAGAUUAAAACUCUUUAUAUAUAUAUAUAUAGCUAACUUUUGCAAUCAGAAAGAAACUUUGUGUAUCUACACACCUCUGAAACACGACGAUUGUUUUCAUAAGAUUUCCAAGGCUGAAGUUCCAUUACAAAAAUACCAUCCUUAAAAGCAAAGACAACAGUCAAUUGCUGCGCAUAUGAGAAGAGAAAAUGGACACAUUCAAGUACAAUGUAGCUACUGGGUUAAAAAGACGCCAAAUCUCUGAAAACAAGGUUAUCAAACUGUCGUCACCCCAAAUCAAACGAACCCAUUUUGUCACACUCAAACUGCAUCAAAGAGCAAACAUGUCAUCAAUAAAACUGUUUGUAUUUGGAUUUCAACUAAAGAUGAGACCUCCUUUAGGAAACAGUGAGAUCAAAAGGCUUAGUGACAUAAGAUUCUUUAGCCAAAAACGUCAGGCAAAUAUUUUCUAAAUUACAGUAGUUGAGUUUCAUACGUAUUUUGUGGUAUGAGCAUUACCAAAAAAAAUCGGUAACGUUCUUAAUUGUUGCCAAUUCUCUCCAAGAAGAAGAAGCCAAACAUACAGAGUGAAAGAACGGGCAAAAAUAAAAAGAAAUUUACCAUAGAAUUGUAUCAUAAUGAUUGUCGUCAAAAUUUUGAGUUUGAACAAAAUUCUCUUUCUGAAACGAGACAAUCUGAGACAGGUUUUUAGUUUCUUGGUUGUCUGACUUUGUCACACCAUUGGAAAGGGAUACAGAUUCCUCCUUCAAACCCUCUGAGCUAUAUUUCUUUUCAUUUGGCCUAUCAGAAUUCUGCAUUCUCACAAACUUCUUACGAUGCUAGUGAGCAUCCUCAAUGCGACCUUCAGCCAAAGGAAAUCGAGUUCAAUGCACAGGAAACAAUUACUUCAGAAAGAUAAAACUUACGAAAGCUUCCAAAAUACAUAUCUGGAUUAAAGUAUUUAUUGUUCUGUGUUUCACUUGAGUUAAGACUUAAUAUGAGAUACUAGAUUAAAUCAAACUAAACAUUUUCUCCAGACUUGAAUGAUAACGUAUGUAGCUAACAGUUUAAUCUAUAUAUGUCCUAUAUGAAAAAGAAAAAUCUUGGAAGAUAUUACGACAACUAAUAGUUCUUACUUGAAUCAAUAUCCACUCCAAGAAUGCUCCGGCAACUAAAAUUUUUAGCUGAAGAAAAAGAAAAGCAAGAUGUUAACAAAGACAUAUCCAAGACAGUGAAAGUCCAAUCCCACUUUGACAUAGCAUUCUCAUAAAGAAAUCAAAUCAGUAGAAACCAUACAACUAUACAAAUACUCACAAAGGGCCACAUCUACAAAUAUAAUAGGGGCAUUAGAUUCUUGUACCAAGAAAGGAUUUUUCGGUGUUCUUCAAAAAAUGUGUUUAGCAAAUGUAUAAGAAGCUUACCAAUAUGGAUAGUCAUAAUCCUGCUAUUGCAGCCAAUGUCAAGACAAUCCUUGCCCUCAAACCAUUCUUUCUUCACCACUUUAAGCCGAGGACCCUCAUCAAUAUCAUGGCUAAUCUAACACAUUAUAAGUUUUGUCAAAAAGAAAACCCAAAAUCAGAUACUUAAAACCAAUCACAAAAAAAACACUCUUAAACAUCAAAAAAGAUACUCAAAUCCAAACCCAAAGGCAUUAAUUUGAAUUAGAAUCUUAAACCUAUCUCAACUUUGGAAGAAGAAGGAGUGGAUUUCUUACUUUAGUUACACUCAGAUAGCAACGGUUUGUUCGAUGAUGUUCUUCAUAGAUCUGUCCAUCCAAUGAAUCCCACAAACAAGAGACUCACACCCUCUAAGUACUUUUUUUUUCUUUCCAAUUAGGAUCAGACUGAGACAGUCAAUAACAAGCAAACACCUUGAGAACAUGAGAAACUCUAAGAAGGAUCUUGUUGGCAGUGCCCAGCUCUGUAUCACAGACCACGUAUCCGUCCUCGGGCAUUGGUGGCAGUGAGUCCAAAAUCUUGAUACUGUACAAUUUUUUCAAAGUUUCGUUGAAAUUUCAAGAAAUAUGUACACAUUUUUAAAAAUAUGUACAUAUUUUAGAUGAGGACUCGGAUAAUUUUUCAAGAAGAGUGUAUUUCUCUAAUAUAUUUAAGGAUAAAUGUAACCCGCAAAUAGCUUACUUACUAAAAAUUUUAAUAGAUCUAAAACUUAGUACUAUUUCUACUUGCUAAAUAAUAGCGAAUAUAUUUCUAAUGAGAGUCAAAUUCAUAGGUGAAAGAGUGGCACAUUGUCUUCAAGUCAUUUUACCAUUAGGUACCACCACUUACGUAGUUGGAUUAUCUAUUAUAAAAUUUACAAUUUUUUGUUCUAGCCAAUAAGUUAAGAUUGAGAUGUAAUUUUACACAUGAUAGUUCUAUACUUCUAUUUAAACCUGAUUGAACUAAUCUUCCUUGUUGAUCCCAGCUAAAAUCGUAUAUGCAUACAAUACGUAUCAGUAUUUACGUGGAUUUAAAGUCUUCAUGUCUUGAUAAUGACAUCAAAAUCAUAGAGGGUUGUGGUUGAAGUUAAUUAGAGACCAAAGUGGAGUAUCUCAAUGAGAGAUACCAACUAUACCCUUGCUUUCCUUUGAUUAACAAUCUAACUAAUUUAUUUAAGAAAUUUGGGAAAUUAAUUAGAGACCAAAAUGGAGUAUCUCAAUGAGAGAUACGUACCAACUAUACCCUUGCUUUCCUUUGAUUAACAAUCCAAGUAAUUUAUUUAAGAAAUUUGGGAAACCUUAGAUCACUCUUUUAAUAGGAAAAAAUUAUUUAGCACAGAGAAGAAAAAGUUUUUCAAGCUAAAGAAAAAGAGGUAAAAUUAUGUAGCCACGAAUAUAGCCUUAGCCACCACAUGGCACAUGUGUUAUUAUUAUUUUUUUUUUGGUUGGAAAGAAUUUAUCACUCAGGCAAGACCCCAUUACAUAAUGAAUGUGUUAGUUUAAUUAAGUAAAGGGUCUACUGUCCAUUACUAUACAUAAUUUGAUAGUAGUACAACACAUCAUUUUUCUUCAUAUAGUUUAACAUUUAUCUUAAAUUAGAAUUUAAUCCAUGCGUCCAAAUAAAAUAAUUUUUCAUAAAUUAAAUAUGAAAUAAUUUUUUUAAAAAUAAGUUAAAUGUUAUUAACUUAAAUAUGCUUAAUUUAUGAAGAUUGAAUAAAUAUUUGAUAAUAUGUUUAACUCGAAAAUAAGGAUGUUGGGUAGCACAUUCUAAAAAUAUUCUGUUAUAAUAGUAUAAAUAAAAUUGUUGCUAGUAAGAACGAUAGUUUAGAAAAACACUACAUGUAUUGAUCCGGUAACCUUUUGUAAUAGCAUGCAUGGAAAAAAACUUGAAUUUAACUAAAUACUGUGUUUAACCUAAUUAGCUAUCUACGUCAAUAUAAGAAAUUACAUUCCUAAAACAUCCAACUCGUUUAUUUUGGUUUUAUUCUCUCAUUCAUCUAAUAAUAUCUAUUUACGUCAAUAUACCAGUUGAAUAUAUUAUAGUGUGAACAAAUAAAAAAUAAAUAAAUAACAUUACAAAACCCGCCCAAAAAAUAUAAAACAAGGUGGUCACGUUCCUCCAAAUAAAUUAGCCUCCUCUUUCUCCUCUCUCACACACACACACACUCUCUCUCAUAGUCUCAUACUCCUCUUUUUCUCUUUUUUUGUUCUUUCUUUUUCUUCAGAACCUCUUGUCUCCACAAAUGGUUGAGACAAGUUUCUACAUCGGAAUCAUAGGUAAACACCCUUCUUCGCACGUGUGCUUAUAUCUCUACAUGUAUAUACACUCAUGUAUAUACCUCUUGUAAUUUGUGUUUGACGCAGGAAAUGUAAUCUCCGUACUCGUCUUCCUCUCACCAGUGUGAGCUCUCUCUCUAGAUUUUGGAAGAAGUAACAAAAUUUUAAGAUUUGAUAUAUACAUAUAUAUAUAUAUAUAUUUUAUUACUGAUUGGUCCAACAUACAAAAACUCAGGGAGACAUUUUGGAAGAUAGUGAAGCGAAAAUCGACGGAGGAGUAUAAGAGCUUGCCGUACAUCUGCACGUUGUUAGGAUCGUCGCUAUGGACAUAUUACGGCAUAGUCACUCCCGGAGAAUACCUUGUCUCCACCGUCAAUGGCUUUGGUGCUCUUGUUGAAAUCAUCUAUGUCUCACUCUUUCUCUUUUAUGCCCCUCGACAUCUCAAGGUUUUUAUUUCAUUUUCAUUUUUCAUUUUUAUCAUAGAUAUGAUAUAUAUUCUCUCUCUCUCUCUCUAUCUGAUUUUCUUGAUAUUCUGUGUUUCUUAUAUAAUAGCUGGUUAAAAUCAGUAUAUUAUUUGAUGUAAUUAUUCAGAUUUGGAUCUGAAUAUCAGUUUUCUGUAUCACACAUUUUUUGAAGUUAAGUUGAUUAAAAUAUGUGAUCCACUUGUUAUAAUAAAUACUAUGAUGACUUGUAAAGUAAGAAUUUAUAACGUACUUAUACAUUUUACAAAGUGUUUAUAGUUGAUGUAAGUGAAUUUUAUCUAUAUUCAAAUAUUACUAAUGUCUUCUAUUUUUUGUUUUUAACAGUUCAAUACAAUCGUAGUGGUAUCGUUGUUGAACGUCCUUUUCCCAAUCGCAGCGAUUGCUGCCACGAGAAGUCGAGAAGUGCGUUUAAAGAUGAGAAAACGCGUUCUCAAUCGAUGGGUUUCAUAUGUGCCGGUCUAAACAUUGUAAUGUAUGGAUCUCCUCUUUCUGCUAUGGUAAGUUCAUUCUUAAUUUUUACUUGUAUUGUAUGUCCAAAUUUUAUAUAAAAUACAUAUGGUGUAUAACUGUUUUAUAAUACCCACGUUUUGAAAGAAAAAUCUUAGUAACGGUUAAAGAAAAUAAGUUCAGUGGUUAUUUUUGGUGGUAUUAAUUUGGUCAUUUUAGUAACGGUUUUUUUUUGGGGGAAAUAUAAACGUUAUUUUUUAUCAUGCAUGCAAUCAUCAUAAACCAACCACACUAUAUGGCAUUUUUUAGGCACACGUCUUUAAGAAUUCGCACUCAGAUAUCAAUUAUAUAACUUGUACGUCAUUAGAUUUUUCACAUUUAUAUUUGAAUAAAAAUCGUCAUUGCCAUCUCCUCUAUGUACUCCACAGUUGUAUUAAUAAUGCAACCAUGACUUGGUGGGUCCAUUAUUAAUACAAAUCUUAGAAAAAGACAUACCGUACUUAUUAUUUUCAUUUUCCCAUUUCGGGCAAAAAUGUAAUUAGAAUAUAUGUUUUUGAGCUUAUAUCAUAUAAAUAUCUGUUAUAACCCCUAUUGGUUAAUAACUUAUAACUUAUAACAUAGCUAUAGACUAAUAGUAUUGCUUUUAUGCAGAAAACAGUAGUGACGACAAAGAGCGUGAAAUACAUGCCGUUUUGGUUGUCGUUUUUCCUCUUCUUAAACGGCGCGAUUUGAGGCGUUUACGCUUCACUCCAACAUAACAUUUUUCUACUCGUAAGUAAGGUUUUACUGUGUGGUUCACUUAUUAGUCAUUUUAUGGUUCUACUUCAACACAUAUAGAAGACAAAACAGAGAUACUUGAAAAUUGAAAUAUAGUUACACUGUUAAAGCUAUUUCAUCGACCCCAUGUCUCUUCGAUAUUCUAACACUAACACCAACAUAUUUUGUCGUUUUUUGACGCCGUAAUCAACUCCGUUCAUGUCAUUGUCAAUGCCACAUUUUAAAAAAAUAUAUAUAUCUGAGAAAAAAUCACGAUUUAUGCAUAAUGACUUGAAAAAAUUGUGGACUCCAGGUCUCCAACAUCAAACCAAUGAUCUUUUGGCGAUUUUUUCAGAUAAUAGUCUUUUUUAAGAAGUGUCUUGGUCUAAUAUGCAACAACCACUAUUUUGUGGGGUCAUUUAAUUUUGUAAAUGCGUCUUCUUGAGAUUUCGGAUAGGCGUUGAACUUAGUAAUAUGCUAUUCAGAAUAAUUUAUUUACGAUCAAUUAAUUAAAUUCAAUUAAUUUUGUGGUUAAACUGAUUAGGUGCCAAAUGGAGUGGGGUUUGUGUUCGGGACAAUGCAACUCAUACUUUAUGGAAUUUAUAGAAAUGCCAAACCGGUCGGUUUAAGCAACGGCUCAAGUGUGAUUGCUGCAGAUGAAGAGGAAGGCCUCGCGUCACAUGUCCCUCUCCUCUCGUAAACCCAAUUUUUCUUUGUUUUAUGAAAAUUAUAUUACAACAAACCUCCUUUAGAUUAUUUCUUUUUAAUUUCUUGGAGAGUGUUUUGUGUGGAAUUUGGGUUUUGUGUAUUUUACUUUCUGAACCAGAUUAGACUUUUUUUCUUUUGGGUCAAAGAACCAGAUUAGAUUAAGUUGAGGAUAUCACAUGUCUUUUU